rnacentral:lncRNA from 1 species
UUUACAGAAACAGUGUAAAUCAGGUUAGUGCUCGUGCUCAAUGGGACAUUGCAAGGAUGUUCCGCAUUUGCUAAGCUUCGGAGGCCGGCCAUGACCUGAACGGAUGCAUUUGUGUCAUUGUAUGCAGGAAGAUAAGGCAAGGAGGGAGGUGAAGAUGGAGUGUAGUAUCCGUUGUAUUGUACAAUAGCUGUGGUGGUUGUGUUAUCAUAAAAGUCUUGAUAUUUCGGGGCAACAGAAUAAGUUAUAGCCGCCAUGUAAUAGUGAUCCGGGCGUUGGUUAGCUUCUAGUAAGACAUCAUAGGUUUGGCCAGGAAAUAUUGUGAUAAAAUCUCGUGUCAAUGGUUUCGUGUAGCUACCAUCUGUUCCAACCACUGUCAUUUUAUGCUUGUCAAUGGAGAAGAAGAGAGCCUCUUGCAAGGCAGCAUUGAUUAUGCGAAGUAGAUAGGUCUUUCCAUGAUCCACCGUUAGCUUGAAUGUGUCUGCAAUUAGAAAGGGAAAGUUGUAUACUUAUGACUAGCCAAAAGAAAAAGAAAAAGUUUCCAUGAGGAUCCACUAAUUAUGAAGUGAUUGAUUGAUGAGGGGUGUAAAUUUGGCUCCAUAGUUCAAAAUUAUAUUUGGACUAGCCUUCUUUUGUGUUUUAAAUCAUGGCUCUACCAUCCUCAUAGCUAUAUUCCUCUUUCUUAGCAUUAAGCUUUAAAUAUGUUGAUGUUAAUAAGAAAAAGUAAUAUGGCUAACAUAUAAGAAAAUGAAAUUGUGUACAAUUUUAAAAUGGGAAGUUAAACUUUGUACCUGAUUUUGAGCAUGGAUAUAGAUCACCGGGUUGUCCAUUUAUCAAUAAAGCAUCAGAGGGGUCGGGGUCACCUCCGGUUGCAAGCCCUUCAUCUCGAACCGCAUUCACAUCAUUCUUCCACCAUUCUCCUGCAUUUCAACAACUUCAAUAAUUUUAGAUUUUGCUUUGUUGGUUAAUUCAUAAUAUGUAAAUUAACCUUUAAAAGUAACAACACUUAUACCUAAUAUGAUAGGGACCUCUCUAUCAGGUUUGUGAAAAGGAUACUUGGUUCCAUUCUUGGGAUAGAUAAUUAUAGCUCCAUGAACAGUGGCUCGGGUCCAAUCACUGUGAGCAUGCCACCAUAGAGUGCCUUCUUCAGUGGAAAGGAUGAUCUUCUGUGUAAACUUUGACCCUGGCCGAAUUGGGCAUUGUGUGAUAUACUCGGGACCAUCUGUCCAUGGAUAUCUAGGCAUGGUCACCCCAUGCCUGCGAAACCAUAACUAUACGUUAAAACUAGUACUAAUUUUCAAAGUAACAAAAGAUGGCAUGCAACAACAUAUUAUCAUAAUAACAAGAGGCAUCAAUUGUAUUUCAAUGGAACUAAAGCAAAUAACCUAAAAGUAUUGUUUUAAAUUUGACUUUAUUUUCAAAGUUAUAUAUUGUAGCCCCCUCUUAGAUAUAAAAGAAUAUAUGUCAUGCAAGCAUGGUACCACUGCUCUUUCUUUGAGACACGCACAGGACCUACCAGUGAAUGGUGAUGUUUUCAUUUCCCUUGUUAUAAACGUCGACAAUGAUCGUCUCUCCUUUCGUAGCAUAUAUGGUUGGUCCCGGAAAUUUUCCAUUUACUGUUAAGAUGUUCUUGGUGCUACAAAGCCUUUUAUAUGAAGCUUCCCUCACCUGCAACCAAUUAAAAGUUAGCCAUGCAACCUGAUCCCAAAAGAAAUAUCACAUGCAUGAAUAGUUGUAUCGAUCCAUUCAUGUAAGUGUAUAACCAAUUAGAAAUUGAUAGCAUGCAUGAACGACUCAACGACACCAAGGUAGUAGGUCAUAUGGUACGAAAUGAGAGCAAUACCACUCCCUAAAUAUCAUGAUUACAAGGUGGCGUUAAGGCCAGAAUCAUAUAUAGUAUUUACCACAAAAGUAAGCCGACGGGUCGAAGCUUGGCAAUGGAUGCCACCACCAAAAACUAGAAACGCUAAAAUUUGCAGGAGGAAAACCUUCAUGAUCAGCCACAUUUUCCUUGGAAUAAAAGCCUCUUCUCUUGUCCUAAACACAACUCCUUCAAUUCUCUUACUGCUUUUGAUGUAUUUCUUUCAUAUAUGGUUCAUUAUAUAGGCAUGGUAAUUCUCUAGGGAUACAAUACGUGUCAAUAUAAGAGGAAGUGAUUUGAAUGUGUAUUGGUUUUCAAUGUUCUUUCAGGACGACUUCAAUGAGCAGGACCACUUCAAAAUAAUUAAUUAUGAUAUUUCUUACACGUUACCUACACGUUAUUUUAGAAUAAAUUUAAAAUAUCCUUUCACAAGUCUUUUAUUGAUUAUUUCAACAAAUGUUAAUUAAUUAAAUAUAUGUAGGAUAUUUUUAAAACUUUGACCUCCCGUAUGAAAACUGUUUUUCAUUGACAACUACUUUUAACAAUUAUUGGGUGGUUGGCGGCAAAGUUGUUUUCGUAUUGUUAAUACAAUUUGUCAUGAUCGUUGAUUUCGUUUGAAUGGGACAAAGUUGUUUCCAAUUUUUUUUAAACUUGAGAAUUGAGAUUAUAAAAGACAAGAUGAGAAGUUAUUUGGUAUUUCAGAAUUUUCCAUAACAAAUACAAAAAUAUAUUUUGUAAAAAGCUGAAAAUAGGAUACUAACAACCCCUUAUAGUAUUUUUUUUUUUCUCAACAAAAAGCAAUUUAAUACUAAUAAUAAAAAAUAAUUAUAGAUUUUAAAAUAUAUUUUUCAAAAGAAAUGAAUCUAUAAUUUAUUUGUUCAAAUGGUAUGUAUAUAUUGAUUAAAUAAAUAAAUUAUGAAAAGAUUUAUAUAUUUUCAAAAUGAGAUUUUAAAAUUGAACAGAGAUAUUUGUUUAUUUUAGAUUUGAAUGUUUGGAUUCAUCUAAUUCCAUAAAUUAUUAUUUCUUUAUUUUAUUGGAGUUGACUUUAAAUGUUUGGAUUGACCUAAUUCCAAGUGGACUAAGCCAACCUAAUAUUUGAAUGGAGAUGAAAGCAUGGGUAUAGGUUUGUACUUAAAGAAAUUUAAAAAGGAAAUGAAGAUAUGAUUAAAAUAAACCUGAUACAGUUACUCUAUAAGAAUAGAUCCUGUUUCUAACCUUUUAACAUACAAAUUUGGAAACCUAAACGUAUGGAUUGUUUCUUUCCUAUAAUGGAAUCCUAUAUUCCUUCUCAAAGCAGCGCUGACUUGAUAAAGGUUUAUUUUAUCUAUAUAUGGGAGGUCAAAGUUUUAAAAGUAUUCUACAUAUAUUUUAAAUUUAUUCUAAAAUAAUGUGUUUGAUUAAUUUCUUGGUCGAUUCUCAAAGUCAAACUUGUAUUUUGAAUUAGAAAAUUCAAGAGAUUCUAAGAAACUCGUCUUCUACGAUACACAACCUGAUUGAAGCUGAGCUUUGAGAAAUUUUCACAAUUGUUAGCAUUCUUCAGGCAUUUGGUUUAUUUAAAUUUUAGUAGGUAAUCAAAUAUCAUACACAACCUGCUCUUUGAAGUGGUCCUGGAAGAACAUUCAAAACCAAUACACAUUCACAUUACUUCGCUUAUAUUGAUACGCGGCGAGGAAUUGUUGAUACCCAAGCCACAUGUGAUCUGAUUUAAUGAAUGAAUCUCUGCCCUUCAUCCGAAGAAUUCUGGUGUUCUGGAUUGAUGGGAGCAAAAAGGUGACCAGUUUUACCUUGAGUCAAAUUCAAAUGACAAAAUAUAUUACCAGGGCAAUCAUGGACACCACCCUUAACUACAAAAAUAGCGCACACAGCCAAUCCCAUCAACCUAGUAUUACACCAAUUUGGAGGCAGAUGUACCAUAUUACUGUGGAGCCUAUACGCUGUUGGCUGAACCACUCAGGAAUUCAACUUCCAGGAACGAAAGUACUGGAUUCAAUAUGUGGAGUAUAUGGCACCAUCUGGGUCAUGAAAAUCAAUGUCAAGUUAUAUGGAAAUAAUGUAGGAGUAGUGCUCAAAGGAGUAUAAGAAUUAUUCCAUAGGAUUUAAUUGAUUUACUUUUACAAUAUGAUCAAGAGAGAGAGGAGAGAAACCUGAAUUGGGAAUUGAAAUCUUGGUAAUUUAUUUGCCAGACUUUGCAUUUCCCUUAAUGUAGCUGCCACAAAGUUGCUGCUUUCAUUCUCAGACAGUCUGAAGCAAUUAGAAAAUGUGAAUCGGAGGCCCCCACAUUCCUUGGAUCUGUAGACACUUGAUGGACACAAAAUGUUUUCCAUAACUGUGCCAUCAUGGGCAUCUAUUUCUUCUAUACUUGAUGGAAGCUCUGGUAAUGAUUGAAGCCUCUUGCAACAACCCAACCUAAGGCCUUUGAGCUGUGAAAGUUGAUUGAGGCGUGCAGGUAGAGUAACAAAAUUGUUUCUGCUCAGAUCUAAAUAUUCCAAUGAGCACAGAGAGCUAAAGUCAUUGGGAAUUGCUCCUUCCAAUAUGUGGCAAUCACUUAGAUUUAACUUUCUUAGGGAUCUUAAACCAAAGAAAGAUGCAGUUGCCACACUAUUCUUAGAUUUAACUUUCUUAGGGAUCUUCAUAUUUAGUUUCAUAGGAAAGAUGUUUUCAAAGAAAUCUGCAUUCUUUGUUUCUAUUAUAGUAUUGACAUCUACCAGAUUAUUUUCUGACUUAGUAACAAGAAACCUAUAUGCCACACUAUUCUCAGCAUAGCCAAUGAACGUUGCAUCAAAGGUUUUAGGACCUAGUUUUCGUUUUUUAGGUUCGGGGAGAAGAACUUUAGCUAAACACCCCCACACUUUCAGGUAUGCUAUAUUAGGUGCACAACCUUUGCACAACUCAUAAGGAGUUUUACUAGUUUUCUUGUAAGGUAUUCUAUUUUGAAUAUGGCAUGCGGAUAGGAUAGCUUCCCCCCACAAGUUCAAGGGUGCUCCUGAACUUACUAACAUUGGAUUCAUAAUUUCUUUUAAGGUCUUAUUUUUCCUUUAUGCUAUUCCAUUAGACUCAGGGGAAUAAGGAGGAAUAAGGAGGAGUAGUUUCAUGAAUGAUCCCAUGAUCUUCACAAAAAGAAUUAAAGGGGUUGGACUCAUACUCUCCUCCUCUUUCAGUUCUAAGCCUUUUAAUUUUCUUACUUAGUUGAUUUUCCAUUUCAUUUUUGUACUUGAUGAAAGCAUCUCUUGCUUCAUCUUUGUUUCUCAAAAGAUAUACCCUUGUAUACCUUGAGUAGUCAUCUAUGAAAGUUAUGUAGAAUUGAUCACCACCUCUAGUCAUUGUAUUUUUUAGGUCUCCUAAGUCACUAUGUAUUAAACUUAGUAGACCUGAUUCUCUUUCAACUGAUUUGCAAGAUUUCUUUGUGGCUUUAGAUUCUACACAAGAUUCACAUUUCCCAUGGUUUUCUAAGGACAGAUUAGGGAUUAAACUCAAUUCAACCAUUUUCUUCGUAUAUGAAAAGUUCACAUGUCCUAGUCUACCAUGCCAAAUAUCACAAGAAUCAACUAUGUAAGCAAAAGAAGAAGAUGUAUUAUUAUUGAUAAUAUCAUAAACAUUCAACAUAAAUAAACCCUGAUUACAAUAGCUCUUUCCCACAAAUGCAUCAUUCUUGGUUAAAACUAUUUUAUCAGAGUCAAACAAGAUCCUCACUCCUGCUUUUCCAAGUAGAGAUACCGACACCAAGUUCCAACAGAUAUCUGGCACAUGAAGAACAUCAUGUAGGGCAAGCACUUUUCCAGAUGUUAGCUUGAGGAGAACUUUCCCUUUGCCAAUCACUGGAGUAGAUCUAGAAUCACCCAUGAACACUUGUUCCUCUCCUUUCUUUAUAGUGGUAUAGGAAGUAAAUGCAUUUCUAUUCCCACAGAUGUGCCUAUUAACCCCAAAGUCUACCACCCAUUCCUUCAUAUUGGUGACCAUGCUCACCUCAAAGGAGAUUACUGUUGUGAUCACCUCUGUCUCUGCCAGAUUUGCCUUUGAACUAGUCUUCUCAAUUCUCUUCCUAUGGCGACAUUGAGCUGCAUGGUGUCUAGACUUGCCACAGACAAAGCAAUUACCCCAUUUUUUAAUAAUUGAGUUUUGGACCUUGUUUAAUGCAUUAGGCUUGGUCCUAAAGUUUUGUUUCCUGAACCUAUUAUUUUUGGGUUUAGAUUUUUCUUCUACUACAUUAGCUUUAGAAGACAAUUCCUUAGCUUUCUCAAUAUUGUCCCUAUUUCGGUUUUGUUCCUCAAUCCUAAUAUGGAUUAUGACAUCCUCUAAGGACAUUUGUUUCCUUUUAUGUUUCAUGUUGUUUUUAUAGUCUUUCCAAGACUCCGGAAGAGCCUCUACUAAAUAACUAGCCACAAAAGGUUCGGGUAAUUUAAUGUCUUCAAUAGCUAAGUCAUUAAUCAACAAGUGGUAGUCAUGGAUUUGAGAUGAUACAACUCUAUCCUCACUCAUUUGGAAAUUUCUAAAAUUCCCUAUGGCAUAUUUAUGAGUUCCCGCAUCUUGCAAAAUAUAUUUUUUAUUCAUUGCAUCCCAAAUUUAUUUUGCAACUUUAAAUUGACAAUAAAUAUCAAAAAGUUCAUUAGAAAGUGUACUCAGAAUAGCAUAGCUAACUUGUUUAUUUCUAGUUUCCCAGGUUGGUAACCUAUGAGAACCAUCUUAUUGUUUUGGAUCAGUCAAAAUAUGUCCUAAGUUCACCACAUCAAUUGUAGAGAAAACCCUUUCCUGUCAUCUCUUAAAGAAUGUCCCAUUAAAUGGAUUAAUUUUAGAGGUGUCAGGAUGGGUGUGAAUUAGGGAAGCUUUCAUUUGAAUUUAUUUCAAGAUUGUUGGAUUUUAAGGGUAUGGAAACAAAGACUAGCCCAAAAAGACACAAACAAAGAACAUAAUGAAUAAUAAAAAAAAACUUAUCGGCUGAGGCAUGACAAACACUGUCCUUGAAAUAGAUCCACCCUUCUCGAAGACGAACUCUAUGCACUAUGUGAGAAAGGGUAUAAAUAAUGUGAGAUAAGGUACAAAAAAAUGUGAAAAAAAUGUACGAAUAAUGUGAGAAAAUGGUAUGCACAAUGUUAUAAAAUGGUACAAAAAAUGUAAGACAUGGUAUGAAUAAUGUGAGAUAGGGUACAAAUAAUGUGAUAUAAUGUAUGAAGAAUGUGAAGAAUGUGAGCAUGGGUAUGAAGAAUGUGAGAAAUUGUACGAAAAAUGUGGAAAAAAAAGUGCGAACAAUGUGAGAAAUUAUACAAAACAAUACAAGACAUAUGGUACAAAUAAUGUGAGAGAGAUGGUAUGAAAAAUUUGAAAUAUGAUACGAACAAUGUAAGGAAUGUUACAACCAAUAUGAGAAAGAAUACAAAGAAUAGGAGGAAGGAUAUGAAGAAUGUGAGACAUAGUAUGAAAAAUCUGAGAAAGGGUACGAACAAUGUGAGAAAGAAUACAAAGAAUGUGAGAUAGGGUAUAAAUUGUAAGGAAACCCAGAUCACUCUAUUCCAUAUCUUAGAAUUAGGUUAGAUGCAUGCAAAAACUUUCCUAGGCUUUUCUAAAUCCUAUGCAUAAUAAAAACAAACAUUUAAAAACUUUAGCAAGAUUUAAAAAUCAAAAGAGAAAAACUAUACAUUGAUUUGGAUAUUCUCAAAUCAAAUCCAUGUAGUGAAGUUGAAGGUUGAAGUAUUCAGAGGUCUCAAUGACUCAAACUCGAUAUUUGAACCCCAAAGGUGGGUUGGCUAUUGCUAUCUACAAAUUGGAUGAUAGAACACAACUAUCUUAAAAACCCUAACCUUUGAGAAGGUAUUUAUAGGGUUCCUUAAUUAGGCUUAAGUGACUUAAGCUUACCGUGGACUUAGGUCACUUAAUUUAGCUCAAAAUAUGUCUUAAUCAAUUAAUUACAUGACACUAUUAGGUUAAUUGAUUAAUUAACCUAAUAUGGCCAAUCAAUUAACCUAAUAGGGCCAUGUAAUUAAUCAAUUAACCUAAUCUAGAGGUUUUAUUCACUUACCUUUGUGUAACCUUACAUAAUUACCAAAACACUAUUAUGCACAAAAGUUAAUUAAGAGUUAAUCUAACCCUUAUGAACCAUUCCACCAAGGUAUAUGAACUCGAGUGGGGACCCCACUAGGAACCAUAGGAUAAUACUGACACAUUCAUAAUCCAGUUUUGAAGUUAACUCAACAUUCCACUACAAAAAAUUAAUUGCACCACAAUAUCCUAUGUACAAUACAAUGAAACACCAAGUUCUCUAGAUCGUGACCUAUUAUCCACUAAUUUCACCACAAUAUCCUAUGUGCAUAUGAUCAAAUGACAUGCCCUACCUCACUAAGAGCAUACGUCAAAUUACUAAAGGAAUUACUGUGUGUCCACAGAUUUCAUGAUCACACGUCCUUAGGAUCACCCAAUGGAACACACUCUCUUAAAGUCCAUGAGAUAUCGUGGUGUCUCUAAUGAGAAUACCAAUUUUUAUCGGCUUCCAUCAAUAGUGACUUAAUCCAUAGGAAAUAUAUGAUCAACUUACGAUCUCACAGUAGGUCAAAGCCUCUACUAACUUUAACUUAUAUAAGCUUAGUAUUCUCUUAAGGUUGAGAGACAAUACAAUUUAAUAGCUUGGUGAAGUCAUGACUACAUGAUAGUCUUAUGUCGUGACUCACCAUAGGUUCUGUUCAAUAUUGUGCAAACUUACACACUAGUGCACUCACCAUGGGAACCCCAUCCCAAUGGCCAAGACCAAUCAUUCCUCCUAUUAGAAGGUAGUGCACUACAACUUCUAAUGGGUUACCUAGGUUCAUGAACUAGCUAUGAACAAGUCAUCUAUUUGUAAUAAACCCAUGACUUGGAUCUUCUAUGCAACUCCUAAUGCACUUAAGUCGCAUUUAAUCAAACCUAAAUGCUUACAAGGUAUAGUGAAUGUCAUGUCAUGUCAUGUCAUGCUUUUAAAGAUUUUAUCAUAACUUGAAUAAUGUGAGACAUGGUACGAACAAUGUAAGAGAGAGUACAAAUAAUAUAAGAAAGAGUAAAAACAAUGUUAGAAAGAGUAUGAACAAUGUGAGACAAGAUAUGAAGAAUGUGAGGGAGGGUAUGAACAAUGUGAAGGAGGGUACAAACAAUGUGAGACAAUACAUGAAGAAUGUGAGGAAUGAUACAAAGAAUGUGAUGAAUGGUACAAAGAAUGUGAGGCAAGGUAAGAAGAAUGUGAGAAAGCGUACGAACAAUAUGAGAAAGUGUAUGAACACUGUGAGACAAUGUAUGAAUAAUGUGAGAUAAUGCAUGAAUAAUGUAAGAUAGUGUACAAAACAAAGUGAGAAAGAAUACGAACAAUAUGAGAAAUUAUAUGAAAAAUAUGGAGGGUAUAAAGAAUAUGAGAUAUUAUAUAAAUAAUGUGAGAAAAUAUACGAAAAAUAUGAGAUAUAGUACGAAUAAUGUAGAAAUGGUACGAACAAUGUGAGAUAAGCUAUGAAGAAUGUGAGAAAUAGUACUCUUCAUAUCCUUUCUCACAUUAUUUAUACCCUCGCUCAUGUACUUUUGUACAUAUUCUCACAUUCUUUGUACAUGAUCUCGCAUAAAAUAGAUAUUGUUUUAUUAAAUACAAAAAAAUUAUAAAAAAUUAUAAAAAUAUUGAAUUUUUAAAAAACCAAAUUGAUAACAUGUAUGGCUAAAUAAUGUAGUUCUCUAACUACUAUUUUUUUAUUAUUUUAUUUUAGUUUCUUCAUGGAUAUAAUGGACAAAGGCAAACGAAAGAAAUUCAUCAUUGAUUUGAAUAAUGAAAACUUUGAUUAAUAAUAUGAUUGCAAUGUGAAAACCGGGUUUGACAAAAAGCCCAUGCUAGUUUAAGAGAAUAUUUUGUAUGGUUUAAGACUUGAAGAUGUAUGGGAAAUGGAGUUCAACUCAAUAGAUGAGAUAGAAGAAUUUUACAAUUUAUACGUAAAGUUAACAAAUUCAAUGUUAGAAAGGAUGAUGUUAAAUGAGAUAAGAAUGAAAAUAUAGCAUCUCAUAUGUGGGUUUGCUCAAAGAAGGAUAAAGACAAACAAUAUGUUUGGAGAAUGAAAAUCGAAAACGAGAACAUAAGACAAUAACUAGAGUUGGUUGUGAGACAUCACUUCGUAUCGAGUUUAACAAACAAAUAAAUAAGUGUAUUAUGAUGGAGUUUAUGGGUGAUCAUAAUCAUCCUUUGGUGGAACCAAAAAUACCCAAUUCUUUCAAUCCCAAAGGGUCAUGAGGAAUGCAUAUAAGGCUUAAUUGAGUGCAAUGCGUAGUGUUUGCCUGAGAACUAGACAAAUUAUGGAUUACAUGGUGCAACAAUCAAAUGGAUAUAUUAAUGUGGGCUUCACAAAGAAAAAAAGAUCUAUAUAACCAUGUUAAUGUUGAUUGUAAAGUUCAGAUAAGAAAUGGUGAUACAAAGGGUACACUUUCUUACUUGUGUGGAAAGGCUUAAAUGGAUACAUCAUUUUAUUACAAGUACAAUGUUGAUAAAGACAAUCGCUUAACAAACUUGUUUUGGCCAAAUUCUACAAGAAUAUUGGAUUACACUUAUUUCAGAAAUGUGUUAGCAUUUAAUAGAACUUAUGAGACUAAUGCUUAUAGAAAACUAUUGGUCAUCUUAGUUGACAUUAACCAUCACAAUCAAAUUGUAGUGUUUAGAUGUUCAUUAUUGGUAGAUGAGAGUCUUUACACUUAUACAUAGGUUUUGGAGACAUUUUUGGAUGUAAUGAAUAAAAAGAAGUUUUUUAUUUUUUUCUGUUAUUAUAGAUGAGGACAAAGCAAGGUGUCAAGCCAUUAAGAGAAUAUUUCUAUAGUUUUAUCAUUGGUUAUGUGCUUAUUAUAUUCAAUGCAAGACAUUCAUUAAUGUCUAUGUCAAAGACUUUACUUAUCAUUUUUCUAGGUACAUGUUCAUGGAAGGCACCGUUAAUUUGAAUGUGCAUGGAGUGGCAUGGUGGAAAUGUGUAAUCUCCACGAACAUAAUUGGGUGAUAGACAUAUAUGCUAAGUGUCCUAGAUGGGCAAAGGCUUAUUUAAAGGUGCAUUUCUUUGCAAGUUUGAAAGCGCACAAAGGUGUGAAAGGAUGAAUGCAUACUUGAAUAGUUUCCUUAAAACUCAUUUAAAGUUGUUUGAGUUUUUGAAGCAUUUUGAUUGAGCACUCUCAUGUAUUCAUCAUAAUGAGGCAAAGGCAAAGUUUGAGAUGCACACUCUUUUACUUCUUCUAAACUCCAAACUCCAUGAAAUUGAGAAAUAUACAGACAUUGUUUUCACUCGGAAAUCUUUUCUCAAAUUUAGGGAUGAAAUGAAUGCGAAACUUUUUUCCCUUAUUAGUACAAAAAAUCAUAGAGGUUAUCAUGUCCAUACAUUGACUAAAUUUAGAAGCUCUGACAAGUUCUCAAAAGUAUGUUAUGGUAAUUGUGAUGAGUCUAUGAAAUGUACUUGGAAAGGGAGACACAGGUUGGUGGUCUUUUGGGGGGAAUAGAAGAUAGAGAGGGAGACACCACUUUUUUGGAGAACGGAGGUCCACACAGGUUCAGAUUUUGGUGAGGCUUUCCGGGGAUUUUCGGAAGCAGAUUCAACAGAUUUUGGUGAAGGAGUUCUCUAGGCGGUUUUUUCUGUUGUUAAGUGGCAGCCGCAUGGACUGCAUGAGGAGGGUUGACGUCUCAUAGUUACCUUCUUUCCUCCAUUGAUAGUAGCCCACAAGGCCACCUUAAGUGGGCGACACAAUAAGGCUGCCAUGCACGCAUGAGGCAGCCAUGACGCUGCCAUGUGGGAGAAGGUAGCAACCACUUCCGCAUUUUUUCUAUGUAUCUCCAGAAACUCCUUUGUACAGCCCACACACGGGCUAAUGAAGCAGAUUCCUGCAUGUGUCACUACAUGCAAAAUAUAUGCAGAAUAUAUAUGAGCCUUGAAUUUGUCACUACAUGCAAAAUAUAUGCAGAAGUGAUUGAAAAUGCAUGACCACCUUUUCCUGCAUGUGAAUGUGUUGAGCUGUAUGGUGCAAUUACUAAUGAAAUUCUCAAUUUGGUUGAUAAGUAUUUUGAGAUGCAAAAGCAUGAUGUUGUCUGGGCAUUGGAAAUUUAUCAGAAAGCAGGAGAGCCAUCAAACAUUCACCCGACAAGCAAGAGAAACACAUAGGCCGCACCAUUCUCCAACAAGACACAACAACAUACAUUCUUGAAGGUAAGUCCCUUUUUAAAAUUUUAUUUUAGUUUAAUUUUAAUUUAUUUAGUUAGUUUAGAUGUUUUUUCUUCAUAAUUAGUUUAAUUAAUUCUACAUUAUAAAGUUCUUAUUUUUCAUUCCGAUUUAGUUUAGUGUUGAUUUUUCUUUUAAUUUAAGUGUGUUUGUGGUUUUAAUUCAAUAGUUUAAUUAAUCUUAUUAGAUAAAGUUCAUAUAUAUAUAUAUAUAGAUUAUCCCAAAUUAGUUUAGUUUUAAUCUUUCUUUUAGUUUAAGUGUGUUAGUAAUUUUAAUUCAGUAGUUUAAAUAAUCAUGUCAGAUAAAGUUCGUGUUUUUAAUUCUAAUUAGCUUCGUCUUAAUUUAUUCUUUAGUUUAGAUUUGUUGUUGAUUAUAAUUUAUUAGUUUAAUUAAUCUUAUUAGAUAAAGUCUAAUUUCAAUUUAGUUUAGUUUUAAUUUAUUCUAUAAUUUGAGUUUGUUUGCGAUUUUAAUUCAAUUGUUUAAUUAAACCUCUUAGGUAAAGAUCUUGUUUUUAAUUCCGAUUUAGUUUAGUUUUAAUUUACUUAUUUAUUUAUUUAUUUUAGUUUAGAUGUGUUUGUAAUUUUAAUUCGACAAUUUAAUCGAUCUUAUUAGAUAAAGUUGAUGUUUUUAAUUCUAAUUUAGUUUAAUUUUAAUUUAUUUUUUAGUUUAAAUGUGUUUGUGUGUUUAAUUGACCUUAUGCUAGCUCUUGAUUUGUUAUUCUCAAUUUAGGCGUUUUCUUGAAUCUUAGUCAUUAAUUCUUGGUGGAUAUCUCAUUAGUUUAUUUAAUCUAAGUUUUAAUAAUUUAUUAUUUCGGUAGUCUCUUGUCAAAUUUACUUUUCAGAUGCCAUCGGAAAAUAGUGAAGAUUGACCUCCAUUCUCACCACUUUAGUUUGUUUGGUUGUCAAAAAUUUUACUUUGUGAUUUUGUUUACUUUUAUUUUGCUUGUUUCUUAUGUUUUGAUUGUUUUCAAAUUAUUUUAUUUUAUUUUAAAAUAAAAUAUUUUUCUCAAAAGAUCCAUUUGAAAAUUCUAUUUUAAAAAUAAUUCAUUUAGAGUCUUUAGAAUCAGAAUCUCAUUUUUUAAUAAUAUGCAACCAUGUCUUGAUUGGUUUGCAUUUUUCUCAGUUUUCAAUAAAAAUUCUGGUUUUAAAUAGAAUAUGAAUCUAAACUUGUGGUCCCAAACAAAUGGGAUAAUUCUGGGCUAGAUUUUUGUAUAUCAAUUGGGGAAUUGGUGAAACCCCUACAUAAGAAAAUUCUUCAAAACUCAUAUUUUUUGCCACCUUUGCUAUUUCAUGAAAUCAUGUCUAUUUAUUUUUUAGGAAUUAUAUACAAGAUUUAUGUGAUAAUUGAUGAUUUCGUAUACUUUGAUCAUUUUUGCUAGGCUAAUUAUAUAACAAGCACGUUAGGAUUUCUUUAUUUUAUUAUUUAUUAUCUAACCCCUCAUGUCUUGUGAAAGCACGUUACAAGUUAUCUAUGCUAUCCAAGUACGUCCUCUAUCACCCACCUUCUAAAUUUUGUGAAUAUACCGGUCACUGUGAACUGCACUUAUGUUUGAUAGUGCUUGGGUGUUUUGAUAUUUGUUUCAUUGUUCGAUUAUUUUUUAUAAAGCGCAUGCUGGAUGAUAUAUUAUUUGAACUAACUUUGAUGUCUUGUGAGGGCGCUAAGAAGCAGUUUAGGUACACACCUUAAAUCUUCUUUAUAAUUAUGAUUUGUUUUUCUUAUUUGGCAUGCUAUUUUUGAAAUCACCUAGCUUACUUAGGUAUCCAUGAUCAACCAAUUAAUUGUCACAUUUCCCUCAACUUAGCCAGUAGAGAUCUUUUUAGGGCUUAGAGGAGUGUUACCUCUUAAAAGUACCUUCCCAAUGGUAACUUGAUUCUUGAACCAAGACUUGGGUUUUCGAGACAUGCUUUUCCAAAAUUGUGGAGUCACUUAUUUAGGGUUUUCUUUCUUGUUUUAUUUUCCCUUUAAAGUAAAAUAAAAUAAGGGGCGACUCCAGCUUUUCCAAAACUAAUUUUUCACCAAUAAAAGCGAGUCUCACUGAUUGAGUGGGAACGCACGUGAAAAAUGUGGGUCCACAGUAUAUAUGGGGCAACCUAAAGGAUUUAUUGUUAUAAGAUAAGAACACCAAGUUAGAGAUAGAUACAUUUAGCUAGGUUGGUUUUUAACCAAUCCAAGAAUCAAAUAGGAGUUCAUUGGUUUUAACUAAAGUACAACAAAUUUAUUUAUUUACUCAUACUAAUCCAACUUAAUAUCAAUUCGAUUCAGUUUAGUUAACUCAAUUUAGACAAAAUUAUUGAGUUUGUAUGUUUUUUUUCACUUCGACCAUACAACCAAAAUGAUCAAAUUGUUUUAGAUAUAUAUAUAUUUUACAAGUAAUACAAUUAAAAUUUUUUUAAAUAUGUGUGGGAGCAACCUAUGGGUUAUUUGCUUGUUGGGAGUAAGUCAAUGAGUUGUAUUAUUGACAUAUUGGGCACUUGUGACUUGAAAUUAUAUUAUCAUCAUUAUUAAGUCCCAAAGUACAAUGAUUUUAAAUUUUAGAUCAUGCUUAUGCCAUAAGCAACUUUUAAUUUGUAAUAAAGCCAUACGAGUUAGGCUCCAAGCCACUAACACCGAAUUGUAGCCCAACUAAGUUGGCUUUGGAUGAGCAUGGUUCGACUCAUAAAGUCCCAAGAUUCUCCACAACACUCCAAAAUCCAAGCAAUUAUAUUUGUCCCACUCCUCUACUACUUGGGUUUCUUUGCCAGUCCACUUUUGGUAAGUGAUCUAGGUUGAAUUUUCCAUAAGCCAAAUACCAAAAUAGAAUUACUCAAGUAAGAAGACUUCUAAAGAGAAUAGUCUAAAGAGCUACUACAAAAGAGAAUAGGAGAUGGUUAGAGUAAUGGUGGUGACUAUUGAAAGAGUCGAUGGUGGUGGGAAGCCAUAGCUACUGGUGAAGAGGAAGUUAGGUGAAUUGGAGACUCAGUGAAGAAGAUAAUGCGAACUUGAUAAAAUUUCCUCCAACUUUUCCUUUUCUCUCUUAUUUUUCCCGCUAAUUUUUAAGGAAAGUAGUAGGGAAAAUAUUACAAUAUUUUCUUUAGUAUUUUCCUUUAUAUUUUUUUUCCAUCAUAUUUUUCAUGUCACCCAAACUGAGGAAAAUAACUUUCCAUAAUAUUUUUUUUCCCUUUCCCUUGCAUUUUCUGAAAACUAAACACAACCUUUAUAAAUAAAAAAUUAAGAAUUACAGUAAGACGGUAUAUUCUUCCUUUUUCUUCCUGCAUUUCUACAUCCACUACUCUAUUUUACAUCAUAUUUUUACUCCCUUCUUCAAUCAGCAUUCCUCUCUUUAUAUAGAGUUAUCUUCACACUAAUUCAUAAGAUAAGAAAGAUGAAUGAACCUUGGGGCAAGGUUGGACAAUUGGUAGCAACGUGUCGACCUCUCUUUAGCAUGAAAAUGGCUAGAACGUGUUAAGCUCUCUUAUUAGAUGACGUGUCAACUAUAGGGCAAUCAUAGGAUGGGGAAUAUAUGGUAAUUAUGCAAAAAAAGAAAAAAAGAAAAAAAGAAAAAGAAAAAUCGAUAUCCAAUUAUAUAGAAAGACAUCUUCCAACAUUUGAUAUAAAUAAAAAUUAAGAGAAAAAUAUUUUUAAAAAACAUAUUAAACCUAAAAAUAGGGAAUUAAUAAUAAAAUAAAGUAAAAAGGUAAAAUUAAAACCAAAUAUUAAAAAUAAUGUUAUUCAGGUUAAAUCAUUGGGUUUGCUAGAGGAGUUUAUAUAUAUAUAUUAGUUUUUUUUCUUCUUUUUAAUCCUAUCUAUGUUGUUGAUAUUAAUGCAUUGAAUUUGAUGUUACCUAAAACAAAAUUAUAUUUCAUGUUCUCUAUUAUAAGUCGACAACCAUACCUUAUGUUAUAUUUUAGAUAAAGAACGAAUAAUGAAGAUUGGAGUUGUAAGAAAUUAGGAGAUCCUAAUUUUAAAUAUGUAACAAAGUUCUAUAAUCACUCCAAUCCACAUUUAAAAAUUGUAUUUCUUUCUAAUAUGGGAGCAAACUUUUUCCUUCUUUCUUAUAAUUUUCAUUUGGGAAUGAUUUAAAAAUAAAUAAAUAAAAGCCCUUCCCAAUAUUAAAAAAAACACUCUUAUAAAAAUUAAUUAGGUGGAUGGUAAGGUCAAAUUCGGGAUAGCUUCAUAUUUUUUGCUUUAAUUGAAACUUAAAAUCAAAAUUAAAGUAAUAAUUUUUAAGAUGUUGUAAAAGUUUUAUUAAACAUGAAAGAACUUAUUGUGUAAACAAAAAUAGAACUAUAGAAUUCUUAUAAGAAAUAACAAUUUUAUGAAUUCUAUAUGAAACCUUUUUUAAAAGUUAUAAGUUUUUUUAUAAAUAAUUAAAUAGGUAUAGAAACUUUUAUUCAACUUAAUUUUUUUUUAACGGUUAAAAGUCAAUCCAAAUAAAAUUUAAAUAUAUUUGAAAAUCAUUUUUAAAAAUCCAAAAAAUCACUUAAAAAUAAUUUCUGAACUUUUUUUUUUUUUAAUUUACAUUCAAAUACUAAGUGAUUCUUUUAAAAAUCAUUUAUAAUGUCAAAAUAUUUUUUUAUGGAUAAAAACACUAGAAAUAAAAAACAUUUUAAUUCAUGAAAUUUCAUUUAUUGUUAUUUAUUUUUUGGGAUUUAAUUCUUUACAAUUAUUUUUGAGUGUUUAUAAAGUAUAAUUAGGUUAUGCCCAAAUUUAUUCCUUUAACUCUAUCCAUUAGAUAUAAGUAGCGUGAAAUUUUGGCCUGUCUCCACCUUUCUUCACUUCUGACAUUGUCAUGCAGUGCUUCGUCAAUGGAUAAUAUAUUAAUUUAUUUCUUAAUUUAAUAGCAUUGGAGUGUCAGCUGGAAUAAAAUGAAAGUUCAAUCAUUUAAUCUUUUUUAGCACACCACUCAUAACUGUCAGUGAUUUCCUGCCAACUUAACAUAUUGACAUGGACUUGGAGAGUUCGGUCAAUUAAAGCAGCUUGGUUAAUUGUAAGUGUUUUUUCUCUAAACCAUAAAUUCCUACGUUUUAAUUUAUAAAAACAAGUGAUUUGUUUUUACUUAAGGAAGCAGGAAAGGGUUUAAAAUAAGAGUUGAAAAGUAUGCCAAUUAUUUUAACUUAAAAUACUUAAAUAAAAAGGAAUUGAUUUUAUCUCAAUUGUAUAAGACUUUAUAAAAAUUAUCAUUUAUAAUUUUUUUGAUUAUUAAUAUGAUACGUAACCUUUGACAGAAUUGGAAUAAAAUAUGGAUAAUUAAAAAAUGUCAACUAUCCCAUUUCAAACUUUUCUAAUACAGCAUGAUAUUUUAUCAUGUUGAAUGAAAUGGGAAUGACCAAAAAUUGUCAAAUCAAAGAUUUAUCUAUUGUGGACAUGGCAUUCAGAGGCUUCUUAACAUUGUAUUGGUCUAUUUAAUGAGUUGAAAUAAGAACACAACAUCAAAUUCUCUUUUUAUAAUCAAAGACUGCUAUGGAAAAUUCCACCAUAGCAUAUCUCAAAUUCCAUUAAUAAUCCCAAACACAAUAUUCCGCAACUUUACAUUAUUCUUUUUAUCAACUUUACACAAAAAAUUGAAGAGGAAUACUAACUUAAAUCAAACAGAAAUUAAAUCAUGAAAGAUGAAUAAUACAAAUAUUCAAUGAAAUCUUUGGCGUGUUAUUUCUUUGCAGCUUCAACAUGGUGGCAUGUCCGACGGAGGAGACAACAUUUGAGCUUCCGGGUGUUUACCAUUUUUCACUAUGAACGCAGUUUCCAUGCCCCAAGUCAGAUGGCGUUCUACAUGGCAGUGCAUGAACCACACUCCUGCAACAGAGAAAAUAUACCAACAUUACACCUAACUUUAUUGUAAUAUUAAGAAAAAAUAUUUCAUUGGUAUGGAGGUUGGCAGUUUCAAGGGUUUUUUUCUUUAAUAGAGGACAUGAGUGCUUGGAACAUACCAGGGUUGGAUGCCUCGAAUCUGAUUGCAACCCAACCAUUCGAAGGAACAGAGAUGGUAUUCUGAAAGGGAGGAUCCACCAGAUUAUAGCGCAAAGGGUCCUUAUUUCCAUCGAAAUUCCCAAAUCCCCAUCCAACAACAUAGAAACUGUAUCCAUGGAGAUGCAUGGGGUGGUGUGUCGCUGCAAGCACAUUUGUCCCUUGAAAAACAAUCUCCACUGUGGAGUUAUACUCGAGCACCCUUACUUCUGUUCCGCUGCUCGGCAACUGAUAGAUUAAUGGAAGAUAAUCAGCUGUAAAAUCGAACACCAGUGGUGGAUCACUAGGAAAUUUAUCUCCAUAUACACCACUGAUGUUAUAAUAGUAAGCUUGCAGUAUGUCAACUGUAGGGGUAUGGAAGCUUAUGUUGUUUAUACUUGAGGAGAAUCGCGUCCCAUUGGCCCCUGCACAUGAAUUAUUGACGCAUGGGUACGAGUUUACAGAAACAGUGUAAAUCAGGUUAGUGCUCGUGCUCAAUGGGACAUUGCAAGGAUGUUCCGCAUUUGCUAAGCUUCGGAGGCCGGCCAUGACCUGAACGGAUGCAUUUGUGUCAUUGUAAGCAGGAAGAUAAGGCAAGGAGGGAGGUGAAGAUGGAGUGUAGUAUCCGCUGUAUUGUACAAUAGCUGUGGUGGUUGUGUUAUCAUAAAAGUCUUGAUAUUUCGGGGCAACAGAAUAAGUUAUAGCCGCCAUGUAAUAGUGAUCCGGGCGUUGGUUAGCUUCUAGUAACACAUCAUAGGUUUGGCCAGGAAAUAUUGUGAUAAAAUCUAUUGUCAAUGGUUUCGUGUAGCUACCAUCUGUUCCAACCACUGUAAUUUUAUGCUUGUCAAUGGAGAAGAAGAGAGCCUCCUGCAAAGCAGCAUUGAUUAUGCGAAGUAGAUAGGUCUUUCCAUGAUCCACCGUUAGCUUGAAUGUGUCUGCAAUUAGAGAAGGAAAGUUGUAUACUUAUGACUAGCCAAAAGAAAAAGAAAAAGUUUCCAUGAGGAUCCACUAAUUAUGAAGUGAUUGAUUGAUGAGGGGUGUAAAUUUGGCUCCAUAGUUCAAAAUUAUAUUUGGACUAGCCUUUUUUUGUGUUUUAAAUCAUGGCUCUACCAUCCUCAUAGCUAUAUUCCUCUUUCUUAGCAUUAAGCUUUAAAUAUGUUGAUGUUAAUAAGAAAAAGUAAUAUGGCUAACAUAUAAGAAAAUGAAAUUGUGUACAAUUUUAAAAUGGGAAGUUAAACUUUGUACCUGAUUUUGAGCAUGGAUAUAGAUCACCGGGUUGUCCAUUUAUCAAUAAUGCAUCAGAGGGGUCAGGGUCACCUCCGGUUGCAAGCCCUUCAUCUCGAACCGCAUUCACAUCAUUCUUCCACCAUUCUCCUGCAUUUCAACAACUUCAAUAAUUUUAGAUUUUGCUUUGUUGGUUAAUUCAUAAUAUGUAAAUUAACCUUUAAAAGUAACAACACUUAUACCUAAUAUGAUAGGGACCUCUCUAUCAGGUUUGUGAAAAGGAUACUUGGUUCCAUUCUUGGGAUAGAUAAUUAUAGCUCCAUGAACAGUGGCUCGGGUCCAAUCACUGUGAGCAUGCCACCAUAGAGUGCCUUCUUCAGUGGAAAGGAUGAUCUUCUGUGUAAACUUUGACCCUGGCCGAAUUGGGCAUUGUGUGAUAUACUCGGGACCAUCUGUCCAUGGAUAUCUAGGCAUGGUCACCCCAUGCCUGCGAAACCAUAACUAUACGUUAAAACUAGUACUAAUUUUCAAAGUAACAAAAGAUGGCAUGCAACAACAUAUUAUCAUAAUAACAAGAGGCAUCAAUUNNNNNNNNNNNNNNNNNNNNNNNNNNNNNNNNNNNNNNNNNNNNNNNNNNNNNNNNNNNNNNNNNNNNNNNNNNNNNNNNNNNNNNNNNNNNNNNNNNNNNNNNNNNNNNNNNNNNNNNNNNNNNNNNNNNNNNNNNNNNNNNNNNNNNNNNNNNNNNNNNNNNNNNNNNNNNNNNNNNNNNNNNNNNNNNNNNNNNNNNNNNNNNNNNNNNNNNNNNNNNNNNNNNNNNNNNNNNNNNNNNNNNNNNNNNNNNNNNNNNNNNNNNNNNNNNNNNNNNNNNNNNNNNNNNNNNNNNNNNNNNNNNNNNNNNNNNNNNNNNNNNNNNNNNNNNNNNNNNNNNNNNNNNNNNNNNNNNNNNNNNNNNNNNNNNNNNNNNNNNNNNNNNNNNNNNNNNNNNNNNNNNNNNNNNNNNNNNNNNNNNNNNNNNNNNNNNNNNNNNNNNNNNNNNNNNNNNNNNNNNNNNNNNNNNNNNNNNNNNNNNNNNNNNNNNNNNNNNNNNNNNNNNNNNNNNNNNNNNNNNNNNNNNNNNNNNNNNNNNNNNNNNNNNNNNNNNNNNNNNNNNNNNNNNNNNNNNNNNNNNNNNNNNNNNNNNNNNNNNNNNNNNNNNNNNNNNNNNNNNNNNNNNNNNNNNNNNNNNNNNNNNNNNNNNNNNNNNNNNNNNNNNNNNNNNNNNNNNNNNNNNNNNNNNNNNNNNNNNNNNNNNNNNNNNNNNNNNNNNNNNNNNNNNNNNNNNNNNNNNNNNNNNNNNNNNNNNNNNNNNNNNNNNNNNNNNNNNNNNNNNNNAGGAGAGAAACCUGAAUUGGGAAUAGAAAUCUUGGUAAUUUAUUUGCCAGACUUUGCAUUUCCCUUAAUGUAGCUGCCACAAAGUUGCUGCUUUCAUUGUCAGACAGUCUGAAGCAAUUAGAAAAUGUGAAUCGGAGGCCCCCACAUUCCUUGGAUCUGUAGACACUUGAUGGACACAAAAUGUUUUCCAUAACUGUGCCAUCAUGGGCAUCUAUUUCUUCUAUACUUGAUGGAAGCUCUGGUAAUGAUUGAAGCCUCUUGCAACAACCCAACUUAAGGCCUUUGAGCUGUGAAAGUUGAUUGAGGCGUGCAGGUAGAGUAACAAAAUUGUUUCUGCUCAGAUCUAAAUAUUCCAAUGAGCACAGAGAGCUAAAGUCAUUGGGAAUUGCUCCUUCCAAUAUGUGGCAAUCACUUAGAUUUAACUUUCUUAGGGAUCUUAAACCAAAGAAAGAUGCAGUUGCCACACUAUUCUUAGAUUUAACUUUCUUAGGGAUCUUCAUAUUUAGUUUCAUAGGAAAGAUGUUUUCAAAGAAAUCUGCAUUCUUUGUUUCUAUUAUAGUAUUGACAUCUACCAGAUUAUUUUCUGACUUAGUAACAAGAAACCUAUAUGCCACACUAUUCUCAGCAUAGCCAAUGAACGUUGCAUCAAAGGUUUUAGGACCUAGUUUUCGUUUUUUAGGUUCGGGGAGAAGAACUUUAGCUAAACACCCCCACACUUUCAGGUAUGCUAUAUUAGGUGCAUAACCUUUCCACAACUCAUAAGGAGUUUUACUAGUUUUCUUGUAAGGUAUUCUAUUUUGAAUAUGACAUGCGGAUAGGAUAGCUUCCCCCCACAAGUUCAAGGGUGCUCCUGAACUUACUAACAUUGCAUUCAUAAUUUCUUUUAAGGUCUUAUUUUUCCUUUAUGCUAUUCCAUUAGACUCAGGGGAAUAAGGAGGAAUAAGGAGGAGUAGUUUCAUGAAUGAUCCCAUGAUCUUCACAAAAAGAAUUAAAGGGGUUGGACUCAUACUCUCCUCCUCUUUCAGUUCUAAGCCUUUUAAUUUUCUUACUUAGUUGAUUCUCCAUUUCAUUUUUGUACUUGAUGAAAGCAUCUCUUGCUUCAUCUUUGUUUCUCAAAAGAUAUACCCUUGUAUACCUUGAGUAGUCAUCUAUGAAAGUUAUGUAGAAUCGUUUACCACCUCUAGUCAUUGUAUUUUUUAGGUCUCCUAAGUCACUAUGUAUUAAACUUAGUAGAUCUGAUUCUCUUUCAACUGAUUUGCAAGAUUUCUUUGUGGUUUUAGAUUCUACACAAGAUCCACAUUUUCCAUGGUUUUCUAAGGACAGUUUAGGGAUUAAACUCAAUUCAACAAUUUUCUUCAUAUAUGAAAAGUUCACAUGUCCUAGUCUACCACAAGGAUUGAAAUAUUGGCAAAUACGGAUAUAUCGGUACUUGGAUUUUACGGAUAUAUCGGAAAUAUCAGAGAAAUAUCGGUUGAUAUUUUUCAUCAAAUAUCGGUGAGACAAAAAUUAUCCAAAAUUGAUGGGAAUGCUUAGAAAAAUCCAAAGAAUGAUAAAAUAAGCAAGAAUAUACAUGUUAAAGUUAUUUUAUAAGUGUAAUUGACAUAAAUAUGGUCAGAGAAAAAAAUAUCGGUAAACAGUUUACGAUACUUGGAUUUUAAGAAUUGAAAAUAUGAAAUUUGGAAUUGUACACUUGGAUAAAGUGAAGAUUGAUUUUCCACCAUUGGAUCACAAAUCUGACCGUUGGAGGCCUUUACAAAUACACGGGUGAAAUCUGGGCCAUCAGAUCCUCAAAAAUUCAAAAUUGGCCGUCAGAUCAAAAUCCUUGAAGUUGGAAAAAAUUGGCAAUAUAUAGGUAAAAUCCCUGAUUUUUUGGGCUCUUCCUCCGGCUUCUCCUCGCAUGCCUCCACUGGCGAUUUUUCGCCGAUUUAUCGGUGCUUCACCGAUAUUUCGCUGAUAUAUUGGCGAUUUUGCCGAUUUUUUACCGGUUUUUCCUUUGAUCGAUAAUCGGUGACGAUUAUUGUUUCGGUGCCGCCCGAUAUUCGAUAUUUCUCCGAAAUAUCGACGAUAUAUCCCGAUUUUUCAAUCCCUGGUCUACCAUGUCAAAUAUCAUAAGAAUCAACUAUGUAAGCAAAAGAAGAAGAUGUAUUAUUAUUGAUAAUAUCAUAAACAUUCAACAUAAAUAAACCCUGAUUACAAUAGCUCUUUCCCACAAAUGCAUCAUUCUUGGUUAAAACUAUUUUAUCAGAGUCAAACAAGAUCCUCACUCCUGCUUUUCCAAGUAGAGAUACCGACACCAAGUUCCAACGGAUAUCUGGCACAUGAAGAACAUCACGUAGGGCAAGCACUUUUCCAGAUGUUAGCUUGAGGAGAACUUUCCCUUUGCCAAUCACUGGAGUAGAUCUAGAAUCACCCAUGAACACUUGUUCCUCUCCUUUCUUUAUAGUGGUAUAGGAAGUAAAUGCAUUUCUAUUCCCACAGAUGUGCCUAUUAACCCCAAAGUCUACUACCCAUUCCUUCAUAUUGGUGACCAUGCUCACCUCAAAGGAGAUUACUGUUGUGAUCACCUCUGUCUCUGCCAGAUUUGCCUUUGAACUGGUCUUCUCAAUUCUCUUCCUAUGGCGACAUUGAGCUGCAUGGUGUCUAGACUUGCCACAGACAAAGCAAUUACCCCAUUUUUUAAUAAUUGAGUUUUGGACCUUGUUUAAUGCAUUGGGCUUUGUCCUAAAGUUUUGUUUCCUAAACCUAUUAUUUUUGGGUUUAGAUUUUUCUUCUACUACAUUAGCUUUAGAAGACAAUUCCUUAGUUUUCUCAAUAUUGUCCCUAUUUCGGUUUUGUUCCUCAAUCCUAAUAUGGAUUAUGACAUCCUCUAAGGACAUUUGUUUCCUUUUAUGUUUCAUUUUGUUUUUAUAGUCUUUCCAAGACUCCGGAAGAGCCUCUACUAAAUAACCAGCCACAAAAGGUUCGGGUAAUUUAAUGUCUUCAAUAGCUAAGUCAUUAAUCAACAAGUGGUAGUCAUGGAUUUGAGAUGAUACAACUCUAUCCUCACUCAUUUGGAAAUUUCUAAAAUUCCCUAUGGCAUAUUUAUGAGUUCCCGCAUCUUGCAAAAUAUAUUCUUUAUUCAUUGCAUCCCAAAUUUAUUUUGCAACUUUAAAUUGACAAUAAAUAUCAAAAAGUUCAUUAGAAAGUGUACUCAGAAUAGCAUGGCUAACUUGUUUAUUUCUAGUUUCCCAGGUUGGUAACAUAUGAGAACCAUCUUCUGGUUUUGGAUCAGUAAAAAUAUGUCCUAAGUUCACCACAUCAAUUGUAGAGAAAACCCUUUCCUGUCAUCUCUUAAAGAAUGUCCCAUUAAAUGGAUUAAUUUUAGAGGUGUCAGGAUGGGUGUGAAUUAGGGAAGCUUUCAUUUGAAUUUAUUUCAAGAUUGUUGGAUUUUAAGGGUAUGGAAACAAAGACUAGCCCAAAAGACACAAACAAAGAACAUCAUGAAUAAAAAAAAAAAACUUAUCGGCUGAGGCAUGACAAGCACUGUCCUUGAAAUAGAUCCACCCUCCUCAAAGACGAACUCGGUGCACUAUGUGAGAAAGGGUAUAAAUAAUGUGAGAUAAGGUACAAAAAAAUGUGAAAAAAAUGUACGAAUAAUGUGAGAAAAUGGUAUGCACAAUGUUAUAAAAUGGUAUGAACAAUGUGAAAAAAGAUACAAAUAAUAUGAGACAUGGUAUGAAUUAUGUGAGAGGGGAUACAAAUAAUGUGAGGGAAGGUACAAACACUAUGAGAAAGAGUACAAACAAAACAAGGAAAUGUACAAACAAUGUGAUAAAUGGUACGAAAAAUGUAAGACAUGGUAUGAAUAAUGUGAGAUAGGGUACAAAUAAUGUGAUAUAAUGUAUGAAGAAUGUGAGCAUGGGUAUGAAGAAUGUGAGAAAUUGUACGAAAAAUGUGGAAAAAAAAGUACGAACAAUGUGAGAAAUUAUACAAAACAAUGCAAGACAUAUGGUACAAAUAAUGUGAGAGAGAUGGUAUGAAAAAUUUGAAAUAUGAUACGAACAAUGUAAGGAAUGUUACAACCAAUAUGAGAAAGAAUACAAAGAAUAUGAGGAAGGAUACGAAGAAUGUGAGACAUAGUAUGAAAAAUCUGAGAAAGGGUACGAACAAUGUGAGAAAGAAUACAAAGAAUGUGAGAUAGGGUAUAAAUUGUAAAGAAGCCCAGAUCACUCUAUUCCAUAUCUUAGAAUUAGGUUAGAUGCAUGCAAAAACUUUCCUAGGUUUUUCUAAAUCCUAUGCAUAAUAAAAACAAACAUUUAAAAACUUUAGCAAGAUUUAAAAAUCAAAAGAGAAAAACUUUACAUUGAUUUGGAUAUUCUCAAAUCAAAUCCAUGUGGUGAAGUUGAAGCUUGAAGUAUUCAAAGGUCUCAAUGACUCAAACUCGAUAUUUGAACCCCAAAGGUGGGUUGGCUAUUGCUAUCUACAAAUUGGAUGAUAGAACACAACUAUCUUAAAAACCCUAACCUUUGAGAAGGUAUUUAUAGGGUUCCUUAAUUAGGCUUAAGUGACUUAAGCUUACCGUGGACUUAGGUCACUUAAUUUAGCUCAAAAUAUGUCUUAAUCAAUUAAUUACAUGACACUAUUAGGUUAAUUGAUUAAUUAACCUAAUACGGCCAAUCAAUUAACCUAAUAGGGCCAUGUAAUUAAUCAAUUAACCUAAUCUAGAGGUUUUAUUCACUUACCUUUGUGUAACCUUACAUAAUUACCAAAACAUUAUUAUGCACAAAAGUUAAUUAAGAGUUAACCUAACCCUUAUGAACCAUUCCACCAAGGUAUAUGAACUCGAGUGGGGACCCCACUAGGAACCAUAGGAUAAUACUGACACAUUCAUAAUCUAGUUUUGAAGUUAACUCAACAUUCCACUACAAAAAAUUAAUUGCACCACAAUAUCCUAUGUACAAUACAAUGAGACACCAAGUUCUCUAGAUCGUGACCUAUUAUCCACUAAUUGCACCACAAUAUCCUAUGUGCAUAUGAUCAAAUGACAUGCCCUACCUCACUAAGAGCAUACGUCAAAUUACUAAAGGAAUUACUAUGUCUCCACAAAUUUCAUGAUCACACGUCCUUAGGAUCACCCAAUGGAACACACUCUCUUAAAGUCCAUGAGAUAUCGUGGUGUCUCUAAUGAGAAUACCAAUUGUUAUCGGCUUCCAUCAAUAGUGACUUAAUCCAUAGGAAAUAUAUGAUCAACUUACGAUCUCACAAUAGGUCAAAACCUCUACUAACUUUAACUUAUAUAAGCUUAGUAUUCUCUUAAGGUUGAGAGACAAUACAAUAUAAUAGCUUGGUGAAGUCAUGACUACAUGAUAGUCUUAUGUCGUGACUCACCAUAGGUUCUGUUCAAUAUUGUGCAAACUUACACACUAGUGCACUCACCAUGGGAACCCCAUCCCAAUGGCCAAGACCAAUCAUUCCUCCUAUUAGAAGGUAGUGCACUACAACUUCUAAUGGGUUACCUAGGUUCAUGAACUAGCUAUGAACAAGUCAUCUAUUUGUAAUAAACCCAUGACUUGGAUCUUCUACGCAACUCCUAAUGCACUUAAGUCGCAUUUAAUCAAACCUAAAUGCUUACAAGGUAUAAUGAAUGUCAUGUCAUGUCAUGUCAUGCUUUUAAAGAUUUUAUCAUAACUUGAAUAAUGUGAGACAUGGUACGAACAAUGUAAGAGAGAGUACAAAUAAUAUAAGAAAGAGUACACACAAUGUUAGAAAGAGUAUGAACAAUGUGAGACAAGAUAUGAAGAAUGUGAGGGAGGGUAUGAACAAUGUGAAGGAGGGUACAAACAAUGUGAGACAAUACAUGAAGAAUGUGAGGAAUGAUACAAAGAAUGUGAUGAAUGGUACAAAGAAUGUGAGGCAAGGUAAGAAGAAUGUGAGAAAGCGUACGAACAAUAUGAGAAAGUGUAUGAACACUGUGAGACAAUGUAUGAAUAAUGUGAGAUAAUGCAUGAAUAAUGUAAGAUAGUGUACAAAACAAAGUGAGAAAGAAUACGAACAAUAUGAGAAAUUAUAUGAAAAAUAUGGAGGGUAUAAAGAAUAUGAGAUAUUAUAUAAAUAAUGUGAGAAAAUAUAUGAAAAAUAUGAGACAUAGUACGAAUAAUGUAGAAAUGGUACGAACAAUGUGAAAUAAGCUAUGAAGAAUGUGAGAAAUAGUACUCUUCAUAUCCUUUCUCACAUUAUUUAUACCCUCACUCAUGUACUUUUGUACAUAUUCUCACAUUCUUUGUACAUUAUCUCGCAUACAAUAGAUAUUGUUUUAUUAAAUACAAAAAUUUUUUAAAAAAUAUUGAAUUUUUAAAAAACCAAAUUGAUAACAUGUAUGGCUAAAUAAUGUAGUUCUCUAACUACUAUUUUUUUAUUAUUUUAUUUUAGUUUCUUCAUGGAUAUAAUGGACAAAGGCAAAGGAAAGAAAUUCAUCAUUGAUUUGAAUAAUGAAAACUUUGAUUAAUAAUAUGAUUGCAAUGUGAAAACGGAGUUUGACAAAAAGCCCAUGCUAGUUUAAGAGAAUAUUUUGUAUGGUUUAAGCCUUGAAGAUGUAUGGGAAAUGGAGUUCAACUCAAUAGAUGAGAUAGAAGAAUUUUACAAUUUAUACGUAAAGUUAACAAAUUCAAUGUUAGAAAGGAUGAUGUUAAAUGAGAUAAGAAUCAAAAUAUAGCAUCUCAUAUGUGGGUUUGCUCAAAGAAGGAUAAAGACAAACAAUAUGUUUGGAGAAUGAAAAUCGAAAACGAGAACAUAAGACAAUAACUAGAGUUGGUUGUGAGACAUCACUUCGUAUCGAGUUUAACAAACAAAUAAAUAAGUGCAUUAUGAUGGAGUUUAUGGGUGAUCAUAAUCAUCCUUUGGUGGAACCAAAAAUACCCAAUUCUUUCAAUCCCAAAGGGUCAUGAGGAAUGCAUAUAAGGCUUAAUUGAGUGCAAUGCGUAGUGUUUGCCUGAGAACUAGACAAUUUAUGGAUUACAUGGUGCAACAAUUAGAUGGAUAUAUUAAUGUGGGCUUCACAAAGAAAAAAAGAUCUAUAUAACCAUGUUAAUGUUGAUUGUAAAGUUCAGAUAAGAAAUGGUGAUACAAAGGGUACACUUUCUUACUUGUGUGGAAAGGUUUAAAUGGAUACAUCAUUUUAUUACAAGUACAAUGUUGAUAAAGACAAUCGCUUAACGAACUUGUUUUGGCCAAAUUCUACAAGAAUAUUGGAUUACACUUAUUUCAGAAAUGUGUUAGCAUUUAAUAGAACUUAUGAGACUAAUGCUAAUAGAAAACUAUUGGUCAUCUUAGUUGACAUUAACCAUCACAAUCAAAUUGUAGUGUUUAGAUGUGCAUUAUUGGUAGAUGAGAGUCUUUACACUUAUACAUAGGUUUUGGAGACAUUUUUGGAUGUAAUGAAUAAAAAGAGGUUUUUUUUUUUUUUUUUUUCUGUUAUUAUAGAUGAGGACAAAGCAAGGUGUCAAGCCAUUAAGAGAAUAUUUCUAAAGUUUUAUCAUUGGUUAUGUGCUUAUUAUAUUCAACGCAAGACAUUCAUUAAUGUCUAUGUCAAAGACUUUACUUAUCAUUUUUCUAGGUACAUGUUCAUGGAAGGCACCGUUAAUUUGAAUGUGCAUGGAGUGGCAUGGUGGAAAUGUGUAAUCUCCAUGAACAUAAUUGGGUGAUAGACAUAUAUGCUAAGUGUCCUAGAUGGGCAAAGGCUUAUUUAAAGGUGCAUUUUUUUGCAAGUUUGAAAGCGCACAAAGGUGUGAAAGGAUGAAUGCAUACUUGAAUAGUUUCCUUAAAACUCAUUUAAAGUUGUUUGAGUUUUUGAAGCAUUUUGAUUGAGCACUCUCAUGUAUUCAUCAUAAUGACGCAAAGGCAAAGUUUGAGAUGCACACUCUUUUACUUCUUCUAAACUCCAAACUCCAUGAAAUUGAGAAAUAUACAGAGAUUGUUUUCACUCGGAAAUCUUUUCUCAAAUUUAGGGAUGAAAUGAAUGCGAAACUUUUUUCCCUUAUUAGUACAAAAAAUCAUAGAGGUUAUCAUGUCCAUACAUUGACUAAAUUUAGAAGCUCUGACAAGUUCUCAAAAGUAUGUUAUGGUAAUUGUGAUUAGUCUAUGAAAUGUACUUGGAAAGGGAGACACAGGUUGGUGGUCUUUUGGGGGGAAUAGAAUAUAGAGAGGGAGACACCACUUUUUUGGAGAACGGAGGUCCACACAGGUUCAGAUUUUGGUGAGGCUUUCCCGGGAUUUUCGGAAGCAGAUUCAACAGAUUUUGGUGAAGGAGUUCUCUAGGCGGUUUUUUCUGUUGUUAAGUGGCAGCCGCAUGGACUGCAUGAGGAGGGUUGACGUCUCAUAGUUACCUUCUUUCCUCCAUUGAUAGUAGCCCACAAGGCCACCUUAAGUGGGCGACACAAUACGGCUGCCAUGCACGCAUGAGGCAGCCAUGACGCUGCCAUGUGGGAGAAGGUAGCAACCACUUCCGCAUUUUUUCUAUGUAUCUCCAGAAACUCCUUUGUACAGCCCACACACGGGCUAAUGAAGCAGAUUCGGCAUAUUUUUAGAGGGGGAAUCUUGAAACCACACAACAUCAAGAGACUUGGCCGGAAGUGUGAUGAUGGGUGUUUCCAAAGAAAAGUUAUAAUUCGCCCACUGUUGAAUAUGUUCAUAGAUGUGAAGGGUCCCACGAGCCUUGAAUUUGUCACUACAUGCAAAAUAUAUGCAGAAGUGAUUACAAAAGCAUGACCACCUUUUCCUGCAUGUGAAUGUGUUGAGCUCUAUGGUGCAAUUACUAAUGAAAUUCUCAAUUUGGUUGAUAAGUAUUUUGAGAUGCAAAAGCAUGAUGUUGUCUGGGCAUUGGAAAUUUAUCAGAAAGCAGGAGAGCCAUCAAGCAUUCACCCGACAAGCAAGAGAAACACAUAGGCCGCACCAUUCUCCAACAAGACACAACAACAUACAUUCUUGAAGGUAAGUCCCUUUUUAAAAUUUUAUUUUAGUUUAAUUUUAAUUUAUUUAGUUAGUUUAGAUGUUUUUUUUUUCAUAAUUAGUUUAAUUAAUUCUACAUUAUAAAGUUCUUAUUUUUCAUUCCGAUUUAGUUUAGUGUUGAUUUUUCUUUUAAUUUAAGUGUGUUUGUGCUUUUAAUUCAAUAGUUUAAUUAAUCUUAUUAGAUAAAGUUCAUAUAUAUAUAUAUAUAUAUAUUAUCCAAAUUAGUUUAGUUUUAAUCUAUCUUUUAGUUUAAGUGUGUUAGUAAUUUUAAUUCAGUAGUUUAAAUAAUCAUGUCAGAUAAAGUUCGUGUUUUUAAUUUUAAUUAGCUUCGUCUUAAUUUAUUCUUUAGUUUAGAUUUGUUGUUGAUUAUAAUUUAUUAGUUUAAUUAAUCUUAUUAGAUAAAGUCUAAUUUCAAUUUAGUUUAGUUUUAAUUUAUUCUAUAAUUUGAGUUUGUUUGCGAUUUUAAUUCAAUUGUUUAAUUAAACCUCCUAGGUAAAGAUCUUGUUUUUAAUUCCGAUUUAGUUUAGUUUUAAUUUACUUAUUUAUUUAUUUAUUUUAGUUUAGAUGUGUUUGUAAUUUUAAUUCGACAAUUUAAUCGAUCUUAUUAGAUAAAGUUGAUGUUUUUAAUUCUAAUUUAGUUUAAUUUUAAUUUAUUUUUUAGUUUAAAUGUGUUUGUGCGUUUAAUUGACCUUAUGCUAGCUCUUGAUUUGUUAUUCUCAAUUUAGGCGUUUUCUUGAAUCUUAGUCAUUAAUUCUUGGUGAAUAUCUCAUUAGUUUAUUUAAUCUAAGUUUUAAUCAUUUAUUAUUUCGGUAGUCUCUUGUCAAAUUUACUUUUCAGAUGCCAUCGGAAAAUAGUGAAGAUUGACCUCCAUUCUCACCACUUUAGUUUGUUUGGUUGUCAAAAAUUUUACUUUAUGAUUUUGUUUACUUUUAUUUUGCCUGUUUCUUAUGUUUUGAUUGUUUUCAAAUUAUUUUAUUUUAUUUUUAAAUAAAAUAUUUUUCUCAAAAGAUCCAUUUGAAAAUUCUAUUUUAAAAAUAAUUCAUUUAGAGUCCUUAGAAUCAGAAUAUCAUUUUUUAAUAAUAUGCAACCAUGUCUUGAUUGGUUUGCAUUUUUCUCAGUUUUCAAUAAAAAUUCUGGUUUUAAAUGGAAUAUGAAUCCAAGCUUGUGGUCCCAAACAAAUGGGAUAAUUCUGGGCUAGAUUUCUGUAUAUCAAUUAGGGAAUUGGUGAAACCCCUACAUAAGAAAAUUCUUCAAAACUCAUAUUUUUUGCCACCUUUGCUAUUUCAUGAAAUCAUGUCUAUUUAUUUUUUAGGAAUGAUAUACAAGAUUUAUGUGAUAAUUGAUUAUUUCGUAUACUUUGAUCAUUUUUGCUAGGCUAAUUAUAUAACAAGCACGUUAGGAUAUCUUUAUUUUAUUAUUUAUUAUCUAACCCCUCAUGUCUUGUGAAAGCACGUUACAAGUUAUCUAUGCUAUCCAAGUACGUCCUCUAUCACCCACCUUCUAAAUUUUGUGAAUAUACCGAUCACUGUGAACUGCACUUAUGUUUGAUAGUGUUUGGGUGUCUUGAUAUUUGUUUCAUUGUUCAAUUAUUUUUUAUAAAGCGCAUGCUAGAUGAUAUAUUAUUUGAACUAACUUUGAUGUCUUAUGAGGGCGCUAAGAAGCAGUUUAGGUACACACCCUAAAUCUUCUUUAUAAUUAUGAUUUGUUUUUCUUAUUUGGCAUGCUAUUUUUGAAAUCACCUAGCUUACUUAGGUAUCCAUGAUCAACCAAUUAAUUGUCACAUUUCCCUCAACUUAGCCAGUAGAGAUCUUUUUAGGGCUUAGAGGAGUGUUACCUCUUAAAAGUACCUUCCCAAUAGGUAACCUGAUUCUUGAACCAAGACUUGGGUUUUCGAGACAUGCUUUUCCAAAAUUGUGGAGUCACUUAUUUAUGGUUUUCUUUCUUGUUUUAUUUUCCCUUUAAAGUAAAAUAAAAUAAGGGGCGACUCCAGCUUUUCCAAAACUAAUUUUUCACCAAUAAAAGCGAGUCUCGCUGAUUGAGUGGGAACGCACGUGAAAAAUGUGGGUCCACAGUAUAUAUGGGGCAACCUAAAGGAUUUAUUGUUAUAAGAUAAGAACACCAAGUUAGAGAUAGAUACAUUUAGCUAGGUUGGUUUUUAACCAAUCCAAGAAUCAAAUAGGAGUUCAUUGGUUUUAACUAAAGUACAACAAAUUUAUUUAUUUACUCAUACUAAUCCAACUUAAUAUCAAUUCGAUUCAGUUUAGUUAACUCAAUUUAUACAAAAAUAUUGAGUUUGUAUGUUUUUUUUCACUUUGACCAUACAACCAAAAUGAUCAAAUUGUUUUAGAUAUAUAUAUAUUUUACAAGUAAUACAAUUAAAUUUUUUUAAAAUAUGUGUAGGAGCAACCUGUGGGUUAUUUGCUUGUUGGGAGUAAGUCAAUGAGUAGUAUUAUUGACAUAUUGGGCACUUGUGACUUGAAAUUAUAUUAUCAUCAUUAUUAAGUCCCAAAGUACAAUGAUUUUAAAUUUUAGAUCAUGCUUAUGCCAUAAGCAACUUUUAAUUUGUAAUAAAGCCAUACGAGUUAGGCUCCAAGCCACUAACACCGAAUUGUAGCCCAACUAAGUUGGCUUUGGAUGAGCAUGGUUCGACUCAUAAAGUCCCAAGAUUCUCCACAACACUUCAAAGUCCAAGCAAUUAUAUUUGUCCCACUCCUCUACUACUUGGGUUUCUUUGCCAGUCCACUUUUGGUAAGUGAUCUAGGUUGAAUUUUCCAUAAACCAAAUACCAAAAUAGAAUUACUCAAGUAAGAAGACUUCUAAAGAGAAUAGUCUAAAGAGCUACUACAAAAGAGAAUUGGAGAUGGUUAGAGUAAUGGUGGUGGCUAUUGAAAGGGUUGAUGGUGGUGGGAAGCCAUAGCUACUAGUGAAGAGGAAGUUAGGUGAAUUGGAGACUCAGUGAAGAAGAUAAUGCGAACUUGAUAAAAUUUCCUUCAACUUUUCCUUCUCUCUCUUAUUUCCCCCACUAAUUUUUAAGGAAAGUAGUAGGGAAAAUAUUACAAUAUUUUCUUUAGUAUUUUCCUUUAUAUUUUUUUUCCAUCAUAUUUUUCAUGUCACCCAAACUGAGGAAAAUAACUUUCCAUAAUAUUUUUUUUCCCUUUCCCUUGCAUUUUCUGAAAACUAAACACAACCUUUAUAAAUAAAAAAUUAAGAAUUACAGUAAGACGGUAUAUUCUUCCUUUUUCUUCCUGCAUUUCUACAUCCACUACUCAAUUUUACAUCAUAUUUUUACUCCCUUCUUCAAUCAGCAUUCCUCUCUUUAUAUAGAGUUAUCUUCACACUAAUUCAUAAGAUAAGAAAGAUGAAUGAACCUUGGGGCAAGGUUGGACAAUUGGUGGCAGCUAGUCAAGGCUAGAAGUCAACUUUUGCUUGACUUUUUGGGAAUGGGUAGCAACGUGUCGACCUCUCUUAAGCAUGAAAAUGGCUAGAACGUGUUAAGCUCUCUUAUUAGAUGACGUGUCAACUAUAGGGCAAUCAUAGGAUGGGGAAUAUAUGGUAAUUAUGCAAAAAAAGAAAAAAAGAAAAAAAGAAAAAAAAAAUCGAUAUCCAAUUAUAUAGAAAGACAUCUUCCAACAUUUGAUAUAAAUAAAAAUUAAGAGAAAAAUAUUUUUAAAAAGCAUAUUAAACUAAAAAUAGGGAAUUAAUAAUAAAAUAAAGUAAAAAGGUAAAAUUAAAACCAAAUAUUAAAAAUAAUAUUAUUUAGGUUAAAUCAUUGGGUUUGCUAGAAGAGUUUAUAUAUAUAUAUAUAUAUUAGUUUUUUUUCUUCUUUUUAAUCCUAUCUAUGUUGUUGAUAUUAAUGCAUUGAAUUUGAUGUUACCUAAAACAAAAUUAUAUUUCAUGUUCUCUAUUAUAAGUGGACAACCAUACCUUAUGUUAUAUUUUAGAUAAAGAACGAAUAAUGAAGAUUGGAGUUGUAAGAAAUUAGGAGAUCCUAAUUUUAAAUAUGUAACAAAGUUCUAUAAUCACUCCAAUCCACAUUUAAAAAUUGUAUUUCUUUCUAAUAUGGGAGCAAACUUUUUCCUUCUUUCUUAUAAUUUUCAUUUGGGAAUGAUUUAAAAAUAAAUAAAUAAAAGCCCUUCUCAAUAUUAAAAAAAACACUCUUAUAAAAAUUAAUUAGGUGGAUGGUAAGGUCAUAUUCGGGAUAGCUUCAUAUUUUUUGCUUUAAUUGAAACUUAAAAUCAAAAUUAAAGUAAUAAUUUUUAAGAUGUUGUAAAAGUUUUAUUAAACAUGAAAGAACUUAUUGUGUAAACAAAAAUAGAACUAUAGAAUUCUUAUAAGAAAUAACAAUUUUAUGAAUUCUAUAUGAAACCUUUUUUAAAAGUUAUAAGUUUUUUUAUAAAUAAUUAAAUAGGUAUAGAAACUUUUAUUCAACUUAAUUUUUUUUAACAGUUAAAAGUCAAUCCAAAUAAAAUUUAAAUAUAUUUGAAAAUCAUUUUUAAAAAUCCAAAAAAUCACUUAAAAAUAAUUUCUGAACUUUUUUUUUUUUUAAUUUACAUUCAAAUACUAAGUGAUUCUUUUAAAAAUCAUUUAUAAUGUCAAAAUAUUUUUUUAUGGAUAAAAACACUAGAAAUAAAAAACAUUUUAAUUCAUGAAAUUUCAUUUAUUGUUAUUUAUUUUUUGGGAUUUAAUUCUUUACAAUUAUUUUUGAGUGUUUAUAAAGUAUAAUUAGGUUAUGCCCAAAUUUAUUCCUUUAACUCUAUCCAUUAGAUAUAAGUAGCGUGAAAUUUUGGCCUGUCUCCACCUUUCUUCACUUCUGACAUUGUCAUGCAGUGCUUCGUCAAUGGAUAAUAUAUUAAUUUAUUUCUUAAUUUAAUAGCAUUGGAGUGUCAGCNNNNNNNNNNNNNNNNNNNNNNNNNNNNNNNNNNNNNNNNNNNNNNNNNNNNNNNNNNNNNNNNNNNNNNNNNNNNNNNNNNNNNNNNNNNNNNNNNNNNNNNNNNNNNNNNNNNNNNNNNNNNNNNNNNNNNNNNNNNNNNNNNNNNNNNNNNNNNNNNNNNNNGAGGACAUGAGUGCUUGGAACAUACCAGGGUUGGAUGCCUCGAAUCUGAUUGCAACCCAACCAUUCGAAGGAACAGAGAUGGUAUUCUGAAAGGGAGGAUCCACCAGAUUAUAGCGCAAAGGGUCCUUAUUUCCAUCGAAAUUCCCAAAUCCCCAUCCAACAACAUAGAAACUGUAUCCAUGGAGAUGCAUGGGGUGGUGUGUCGCUGCAAGCACAUUUGUCCCUUGAAAAACAAUCUCCACUGUGGAGUUAUACUCGAGCACCCUUACUUCUGUUCCGCUGCUCGGCAACUGAUAGAUUAAUGGAAGAUAAUCAGCUGUAAAAUCGAACACCAGUGGUGGAUCACUAGGAAAUUUAUCUCCAUAUACACCACUGAUGUUAUAAUAGUAAGCUUGCAGUAUGUCAACUGUAGGGGUAUGGAAGCUUAUGUUGUUUAUACUUGAGGAGAAUCGCGUCCCAUUGGCCCCUGCACAUGAAUUAUUGACGCAUGGGUACGAGUUUACAGAAACAGUGUAAAUCAGGUUAGUGCUCGUGCUCAAUGGGACAUUGCAAGGAUGUUCCGCAUUUGCUAAGCUUCGGAGGCCGGCCAUGACCUGAACGGAUGCAUUUGUGUCAUUGUAUGCAGGAAGAUAAGGCAAGGAGGGAGGUGAAGAUGGAGUGUAGUAUCCGUUGUAUUGUACAAUAGCUGUGGUGGUUGUGUUAUCAUAAAAGUCUUGAUAUUUCGGGGCAACAGAAUAAGUUAUAGCCGCCAUGUAAUAGUGAUCCGGGCGUUGGUUAGCUUCUAGUAAGACAUCAUAGGUUUGGCCAGGAAAUAUUGUGAUAAAAUCUCGUGUCAAUGGUUUCGUGUAGCUACCAUCUGUUCCAACCACUGUCAUUUUAUGCUUGUCAAUGGAGAAGAAGAGAGCCUCAUGCAAGGCAGCAUUGAUUAUGCGAAGUAGAUAGGUCUUUCCAUGAUCCACCGUUAGCUUGAAUGUGUCUGCAAUUAGAGAGGGAAAGUUGUAUACUUAUGACUAGCCAAAAGAAAAAGAAAAAGUUUCCAUGAGGAUCCACUAAUUAUGAAGGGAUUGAUUGAUGAGGGGUGUAAAUUUGGCUCCAUAGUUCAAAAUUAUAUUUGGACUAGCCUUUUUUUGUGUUUUAAAUCAUGGCUCUACCAUCCUCAUAGCUAUAUUCCUCUUUCUUAGCAUUAAGCUUUAAAUAUGUUGAUGUUAAUAAGAAAAAGUAAUAUGGCUAACAUAUAAGAAAAUGAAAUUGUGUACAAUUUUAAAAUGGGAAGUUAAACUUUGUACCUGAUUUUGAGCAUGGAUAUAGAUCACCGGGUUGUCCAUUUAUCAAUAAAGCAUCAGAGGGGUCGGGGUCACCUCCGGUUGCAAGCCCUUCAUCUCGAACCGCAUUCACAUCAUUCUUCCACCAUUCUCCUGCAUUUCAACAACUUCAAUAAUUUUAGAUUUUGCUUUGUUGGUUAAUUCAUAAUAUGUAAAUUAACCUUUAAAAGUAACAACACUUAUACCUAAUAUGAUAGGGACCUCUCUGUCAGGUUUGUGAAAAGGAUACUUGGUUCCAUUCUUGGGAUAGAUAAUUAUAGCUCCAUGAACAGUGGCUCGGGUCCAAUCACUGUGAGCAUGCCACCAUAGAGUGCCUUCUUCAGUGGAAAGGAUGAUCUUCUGUGUAAACUUUGACCCUGGCCGAAUUGGGCAUUGUGUGAUAUACUCGGGACCAUCUGUCCAUGGAUAUCUAGGCAUGGUCACCCCAUGCCUGCGAAACCAUAACUAUACGUUAAAACUAGUACUAAUUUUCAAAGUAACAAAAGAUGGCAUGCAACAACAUAUUAUCAUAGUAACAAGAGGCAUCAAUUGUAUUUCAAUGGAACUAAAGCAAAUAACCUUAAAGUAUUGUUUUAAAUUUGACUUUAUUUUCAAAGUUAUAUAUUGUAGCCCCCUCUUAGAUAUAAAAGAAUGUAUGUCAUGCAAGCAUGCUACCACUGCUCUUUCUUUGAGACACGCACAGGACCUACCAAUGAAUGGUGAUGUUUUCGUUUCCCUUGUUAUAAACGUCGACAAUGAUCGUCUCUCCUUUCGUAGCAUAUAUGGUUGGUCCCGGAAAUUUUCCAUUUACUGUUAAGAUGUUCUUGGUGCUACAAAGCCUUUUAUAUGAAGCUUCCCUCACCUGCAACCAAUUAAAAGUUAGCCAUGCAACCUCAUCCCAAAAGAAAUAUUACAUGCAUGAAUAGUUGUAUCGAUCCAUUCAUGUAAGUGUAUAACCAAUUAGAAAUUGAUAGCAUGCAUGAAUGACUCAACGACACCAAGGUAGUAGGUCAUAUGGUACGAAAUGAGAGCCAUACCACUCCCUAAAUAUCAUGAUUACAAGGUGGCGUUAAGGCCAGAAUCAUAUAUAGAAUUUACCACAAAAGUAAGCCGACGGGUCGAAGCUUGGCAAUGGAUUCCACCACCAAAAACUAGAAACGCUAAAAUUUGCAGGAGGAAAACCUUCAUGAUCAGCCACAUUUUCCUUGGAAUAAAAGCCUCUUCUCUUGUCCUAAACACAACUCCUUCAAUUCUCUUACUGCUUUUGAUGUAUUUCUUUCAUAUAUGGUUCAUUAUAUAGGCAUGGUAAUUCUCUCGGGAUACAAUACGUGUCAAUAUAAGAGGAAGUGAUUUGAAUGUGUAUUGGUUUUCAAUGUUCUUUCAGGACGACUUCAAUGAGCAGGACCACUUCAAAAAUAAUUAAUUACGUACACGUUAUUGAUUAUUUUAGAAUAUUCUUUCAAAAGUCUUUUAUUGAUUAUUUCAACAAAUUUUAAUUAAUUAAAUAUAUGUAGAAUAAUUUUAAAACUUUGACUUCCCGUAUGAGUACAAUUUGUCAUGAUCGUUGGUGUAGAUAUAAAAAGAGACUAAAUUAAAGGAUUUUGAAAAUGUGUCGACAAGAACAUCAUUGAAAAAUUUGAAGGUUCCAAUUUUGUGGGUCAUGCAAUUUAUUGGACACUGAAUGGAUAAACAAGCCACGCUCUCCACUUAUUUUCUUUCAAUAUAUAAGCCUUGUACGUGAUGUUGGUUGACUAUUAUGAUAGUAAAUUCGGGAGGAUGUUUAAAUGGACGGGCAAGAUAAGAAAUAGAUUUUCUAUUAAGAUAUUUGAAUGGAGAUGAAAGCAUGGGUAUAGGUUUGUACUAAGGAAAUGAACAUAUGAUUAAAAUAAACCUGAUACAGUUAGUCUAUAAGAAUGGAUCCUGUUUCUAACCUUUUAACACACAAAUUUGGAAACCUAAACCUAUGGAUUGUUUCUUUCCUAUAAUGGAAUCCUAUGUUCCUUCUCAAAGCAGCGCUGACUUUUCCCUUCCUACCAACUACAAAGAGAAAAUCUUGACUAAUCUCGAUAAAGGUUUAUUUUAUCUAUACAUGCGAGGUCAAAGUUUUAAAAGUAUUCUACAUAUAUUUUAAAUUUAUUCUAAAAUAAUGUGUUUGAUUAAUUUCUUGGUCAAUUCUCAAAGUCAAACUUGUAUUUUGAAUUGGAAAAUUCUAGAGAUUCUAAGAAACUCGUCUUCUACGAUACACAACCUGAUUGAAGCUGAGCUGUGAGAAAUUUUCACAAUUGUUAGCAUUCUUCAGGCAUUUGGUUUAUUUAAAUUUUGGUAAUAGUCAUAUGAUAGUAAAUUCGGGAGGAUGCUUGCAUGCAUGGGCAUCAUGAUUUUUUUUGAGAUGUUUAAAUGGACGUGAAAGAUAAGAAAUAGAUUUUCUAUUAAGAUAUUUGAAUGGAGAUGAAAGCAUGGGUAUAGGUUUGUACUAAGGAAAUGAACAUAUGAUUAAAAUAAACCUGAUACAGUUAGUCUAUAAGAAUGGAUCCUGUUUCUAACCUUUUAACACACAAAUUUGGAAACCUAAACCUAUGGAUUGUUUCUUUCCUAUAAUGGAAUCCUAUAUUCCUUCUCAAAGCAGCGCUAAACCUAAACCUGAUACAGUUAAUCCUAUAUUUAAAAUACAAGUUUGACUUUGAGAAUUGACCAAGAAAUUAAUCAAACGCAUUAUUUUAGAAUAAAUUUAAAAUAUCCUUUCACAAGUCUUUUAUUGAUUAUUUCAACAAAUGUUAAUUAAUUAAAUAUAUGUAGGAUAUUUUUAAAACUUUGACCUCCCGUAUGAGUACCCUUCUGAAAAGUCGGGAGGAUGUUGGUUGACUAUUAUGAUAGUAAAUUCGGGAGGAUGCUUGCAUGUAACAAUUUUAUUUUAUUUUAUUUUAAAAUUUAUUCUAAAACCAUAGGUUUAGGUUUCCAAAUUUGUGUGUUAAAAGGUUAGAAACAGGAUCCAUUCUUAUAGACUAACUGUAUCAGGUUUAUUUUAAUCAUAUCUUCAUUUCCUAAGUACAAACCUAUACCCAUGCUUUCAUCUCCAUUCAAAUAUCUUAAUAGAAAAUCUAUUUCUUAUCUUUCACGUCCAUUUAAACAUCCUCCCGAAUUUACUAUCAUAAUAGUCAACCAACAUCACGUACAAGGCUUAUAUAUUGAAAGAAAAUAAGUGGAGAGCGUGGCUUGUUUAUCCAUUCAGUGUCCAAUAAAUUGCAUGACCCACAAAAUUGGAACCUUCAAAUUUUUCAAUGAUGUUCUUGUCGACACAUUUUCAAAAUCCUUUAAUUUAGUCUCUUUUUAUAUCUACACCAACGAUCAUGACAAAUUGUACUCAUACGGGAAGUCAAAGUUUUAAAAUUAUUCUACAUAUAUUUAAUUAAUUAAAAUUUGUUGAAAUAAUCAAUAAAAGACCUUUGAAAGAAUAUUCUAAAAUAAUCAAUAACGUGUAGGUAAAUAAUCAAGAACAUCUUAACAGUAAAUGGAAAAUUUCCGGGACCAACCAUAUAUGCUACGAAAGGAGAGACGAUCAUUGUCGACGUUUAUAACAAGGGAAACGAAAACAUCACCAUUCACUGGUAGGUCCUAUGCGUGUCUCAAAGAAAGAGCAGUGGUAGCAUGCUUGCAUGACAUACAUUCUUUUAUAUCUAAGAGGGGGCUACAAUAUAUUACUUUGAAAAUAAAGUCAAAUUUAAAACAAUACUCUAAGGUUAUUUGCUUUAGUUCCAUUGAAAUACAAUUGAUGCCUCUUGUUACUAUGAUAAUAUGUUGUUGCAUGCCAUUAUAGGAUUCCAUUAUAGGAAUAUAGUUAUGGUUUAGGUUUCCAAAUUUGUGUGUUAAAAGGUUAGAAACAGGAUCCAUUCUUAUAGACUAACUGUAUCAGGUUUAUUUUAAUCAUAUGUUCAUUUCCUUAGUACAAACCUAUACCCAUGCUUUCAUCUCCAUUCAAAUAUCUUAAUAGAAAAUCUAUUUCUUAUCUUGCCCGUCCAUUUAAACAUCCUCCCGAAUUUACUAUCAUAAUAGUCAACCAACAUCACGUACAAGGCUUAUAUAUUGAAAGAAAAUAAGUGGAGAGCGUGGCUUGUUUAUCCAUUCAGUGUCCAAUAAAUUGCAUGACCCACAAAAUUGGAACCUUCAAAUUUUUCAAUGAUGUUCUUGUCGACACAUUUUCAAAAUCCUUUAAUUUAGUCUCUUUUUAUAUCUACACCAACGAUCAUGACAAAUUGUACUCAUACGGGAAGUCAAAGUUUUAAAAUUAUUCUACAUAUAUUUAAUUAAUUAAAAUUUGUUGAAAUAAUCAAUAAAAGACUUUUGAAAGAAUAUUCUAAAAUAAUCAAUAACGUGUAGGUAAAUAAUCAAGAACAUCUUAACAGUAAAUGGAAAAUUUCCGGGACCAACCAUAUAUGCUACGAAAGGAGAGACGAUCAUUGUCGACGUUUAUAACAAGGGAAACGAAAACAUCACCAUUCACUGGUAGGUCCUAUGCGUGUCUCAAAGAAAGAGCAGUGGUAGCAUGCUUGCAUGACAUACAUUCUUUUAUAUCUAAGAGGGGGCUACAAUAUAUUACUUUGAAAAUAAAGUCAAAUUUAAAACAAUACUCUAAGGUUAUUUGCUUUAGUUCCAUUGAAAUACAAUUGAUGCCUCUUGUUACUAUGAUAAUAUGUUGUUGCAUGCCAUUAUAGGAUUCCAUUAUAGGAAUAUAGUUAUGGUUUAGGUUUCCAAAUUUGUGUGUUAAAAGGUUAGAAACAGGAUCCAUUCUUAUAGACUAACUGUAUCAGGUUUAUUUUAAUCAUAUGUUCAUUUCCUUAGUACAAACCUAUACCCAUGCUUUCAUCUCCAUUCAAAUAUCUUAAUAGAAAAUCUAUUUCUUAUCUUGCCCGUCCAUUUAAACAUCCUCCCGAAUUUACUAUCAUAAUAGUCAACCAACAUCACGUACAAGGCUUAUAUAUUGAAAGAAAAUAAGUGGAGAGCGUGGCUUGUUUAUCCAUUCAGUGUCCAAUAAAUUGCAUGACCCACAAAAUUGGAACCUUCAAAUUUUUCAAUGAUGUUCUUGUCGACACAUUUUCAAAAUCCUUUAAUUUAGUCUCUUUUUAUAUCUACACCAACGAUCAUGACAAAUUGUACUCAUACGGGAAGUCAAAGUUUUAAAAUUAUUCUACAUAUAUUUAAUUAAUUAACAUUUGUUGAAAUAAUCAAUAAAAGACUUGUGAAAGGAUAUUUUAAAUUUAUUCUAAAAUAAUGCGUUUGAUUAAUUUCUUGGUCAAUUCUCAAAGUCAAACUUGUAUUUUGAAUUAGAAAGUUCAAGAGAUUCUAAGAAAGUCGUCUUCUACGAUACACAACCUGAUUGAAGCUGAGCUGUGAGAAAUUUUCACAAUUCUUAGCAUUCUUCAGGCUUUUGGUUUAUUCAAAUUUUGGUAAGUAAUCAAAUAUCAUACACAACUUGAAGUGGUCCUGCACAUUGAAGUGGUCCUGGAAGAACAUUCAAAACUGCACAUUGAAGUGGUCCUGGAAGAACAUUCAAAACCAAUACACAUUCAAAUUACUUGGCUUAUAUUGAUACGCGUCGAGGAAUUGUUGAUACCCAAGCCACAUGUGAUCUGAUUUAAUGAAUCUCUGCCCUUCAUCCGAAGAAUUCUGGUGUUCUGGAUUGAUGGGAGCAAAAAGGUGACCAGUUUUACCUUGAGUCAAAUUCAAAUGACAAAAUAUAUUACCAGGGCAAUCAUGGACACCACCCUUAACUACAAAAAUAGCGCACACAGCCAAUCCCAUCAACCUAGUAUACACCAAUUUGGAGGCAGAUGUACCAUAUUACUGUGGAGUCUAUACUCUGUUGGCUGAACCACUCAAGAAUUCAACUUCCAGGAACAAAAGUACUGGAUUCAAUAUGUGGAGUAUAUGGCACCAUCUGGGUCAUGAAAAUCAAUGUCAAGUUAUAUGGAAAUAAUGUAGGAGUAGUGCUCAAAGGAGUAUAAGAAUUAUUCCAUAGGAUUUAAUUGAUUUACUUUUACAAUAUGAUCAAGAGAGAGAGGAGAGAAACCUGAAUUGGGAAUUGAAAUCUUGGUAAUUUAUUUGCCAGACUUUGCAUUUCCCUUAAUGUAGCUGCCACAAAGUUGCUGCUUUCAUUCUCAGACAGUCUGAAGCAAUUAGAAAAUGUGAAUCGGAGGCCCCCACAUUCCUUGGAUCUGUAGACACUUGAUGGACACAAAAUGUUUUCCAUAACUGUGCCAUCAUGGGCAUCUAUUUCUUCUAUACUUGAUGGAAGCUCUGGUAAUGAUUGAAGCCUCUUGCAACAACCCAGCCUAAGGCCUUUGAGCUGUGAAAGUUGAUUGAGACGUGCAGGUAGGGUAACAAAAUUGUUUCUGCUCAGAUCUAAAUAUUCCAAUGAGCACAGAGAGCUAAAGUCAUUGGGAAUUGCUCCUUCCAAUAUGUGGCAAUCACUUAGAUUUAACUUUCUUAGGGAUCUUAAACCAAAGAAAGAUGCAGUUGCCACACUAUUCUUAGAUUUAACUUUCUUAGGGAUCUUCAUAUUUAGUUUCAUAGGAAAGAUGUUUUCAAAGAAAUCUGCAUUCUUUGUUUCUAUUAUAGUAUUGACAUCUACCAGAUUAUUUUCUGACUUAGUAACAAGAAACCUAUAUGCCACACUAUUCUUAGCAUAGCCAAUGAACAUUGCAUCAAAGGUUUUAGGACCUAGUUUUCGUUUUUUAGGUUCGGGGAGAAGAACUUUAGCUAAACACCCCCACACUUUCAGGUAUGCUAUAUUAGGUGCAUAACCUUUCCACAACUCAUAAGGAGUUUUACUAGUUUUCUUGUAAGGUAUUCUAUUUUGAAUAUGGCAGGCGGAUAGGAUAGCUUCCCCCCACAAGUUCAAGGGUGCUCCUGAACUUACUAACAUUGCAUUCAUAAUUUCUUUUAAGGUCUUAUUUUUCCUUUAUGCUAUUCCAUUAGACUCAGGGGAAUAAGGAGGAAUAAGGAGGAGUAGUUUCAUGAAUGAUCCCAUGAUCUUCACAAAAAGAAUUAAAGGGGUUGGACUCAUACUCUCCUCCUCUUUCAGUUCUAAGCCUUUUAAUUUUCUUACUUAGUUGAUUUUCCAUUUCAUUUUUGUACUUGAUGAAAGCAUCUCUUGCUUCAUCUUUGUUUCUCAAAAGAUAUACCCUUGUAUACCUUGAGUAGUCAUCUAUGAAAGUUAUGUAGAAUUGUUUACCACCUCUAGUCAUUGUAUUUUUUAGGUCUCCUAAGUCACUAUGUAUUAAACUUAGUAGAUCUGAUUCUCUUUCAACUGAUUUGCAAGAUUUCUUUGUGGUUUUAGAUUCUACACAAGAUUCACAUUUUCCAUGGUUUUCUAAGGACAGAUUAGGGAUUAAACUCAAUUCAACCAUUUUCUUCAUAUAUGAAAAGUUCACAUGUCCUAGUCUACCAUGCCAAAUAUCACAAGAAUCAACUAUGUAAGCAAAAGAAGAAGAUGUAUUAUUAUUGAUAAUAUCAUAAACAUUCAACAUAAAUAAACCCUGAUUACAAUAGCUCUUUCCCACAAAUGCAUCAUUCUUGGUUAAAACUAUUUUAUCAUAGUCAAACAAGAUCCUCACUCCUGCUUUUCCAAGUAGAGAUACCGACACCAAGUUCCAACGGAUAUCUGGCACAUGAAGAACAUCACAUAGGGCAAGCACUUUUCCAGAUGUUAGCUUGAGGAGAACUUUCCCUUUGCCAAUCACUGGAGUAGAUCUAGAAUCACCCAUGAACACUUGGUCCUCUCCUUUCUUUAUAGUGGUAUAGGAAGUAAAUGCAUUUCUAUUCCCACAGAUGUGCCUAUUAACCCCAAAGUCUACCACCCAUUCCUUCAUAUUGGUGACCAUGCUCACCUCAGAGGAGAUUACUGUUGUGAUCACCUCUGUCUCUGCCAGAUUUGCCUUUGAACUGGUCUUCUCAAUUCUCUUCCUAUGGCGACAUUGAGUUGCAUGGUGUCUAGACUUGCCACAGACAAAGCAAUUACCGCGUUUUUUAAUAAUUAGAUUUUGGACCUUAUUUAAUGCAUUGGGCUUGGUCCUAAAGUUUUGUUUCCUGAACCUAUUAUUUUUGGGUUUAGAUUUUUCUUCUACUACAUUAGCUUUAGAAGACAAUUCCUUAGCUUUCUCAAUAUUGUCCCUAUUUCGGUUUUGUUCCUCAAUCCUAAUAUGGAUUAUGACAUCCUCUAAGGACAUUUGUUUCCUUUUAUGUUUCAUGUUGUUUUUAUAGUCUUUCCAAGACUCCGGAAGAGCCUCUACUAAAUAACCAGCCACAAAAGGUUCGGGUAAUUUAAUGUCUUCAAUAGCUAAGUCAUUAAUCAACAAGUGGUAGUCAUGGAUUUGAGAUGAGACAACUCUAUCCUCACUCAUUUGGAAAUUUAUAAAAUUCCCUAUGGCAUAUUUAUGAGUUCCCGCAUCUUGCAAAAUAUAUUUUUUAUUCAUUGCAUCCCAAAUUUAUUUUGCAACUUUAAAUUGACAAUAAAUAUCAAAAAGUUCAUUAGAAAGUGUACUCAGAAUAGCAUGGCUAACUUGUUUAUUUCCAGUUUCCCAGGUUGGUAACAUAUGAGAACCAUCUUCUGGUUUUGGAUCAGUCAAAAUAUGUCCUAAGUUCACCACAUCAAUUGUAGAGAAAACCCUUUCCUGCCAUCUCUUAAAGAAUGUCCCAUUAAAUGGAUUAAUUUUAGAGGUGUCAGGAUGGGUGUGAAUUAGGGAAGCUUUCAUUUGAAUUUAUUUCAAGAUUGUUGGAUUUUAAGGGUAUGGAAACAAAGACUAGCCCAAAAGACACAAACAAAGAACAUAAUGAAUAAAAAAAAAAAACUUAUCGGCUGAGGCAUGACAAGCACUGUCCUUGAAAUAGAUCCACCCUCCUCGAAGACGAACUCGGUGCACUAUGUGAGAAAGGGUAUAAAUAAUGUGAGAUAAGGUACAAAAAAAUGUGAAAAAAUGUACGAAUAAUGUGAGAAAAUGGUAUGCACAAUGUUAUAAAAUGGUAUGAACAAUGUGAAAAAAGAUACAAAUAAUAUGAGACAUGGUAUGAAUUAUGUGAGAGGGGAUACAAAUAAUGUGAGGGAAGGUACAAACACUAUGAGAAAGAGUACAAACAAAACAAGGAAAUGUACGAACAAUGUGAUAAAUGGUAGGAAAAAUGUAAGACAUGGUAUGAACAAUGUAAGAAAAAUAAAAAAUAGAUAAGAUUAAUAAAUUAUUUUUUCAUUAAUAUAAAUUAAAUAAUUAAAAUACCUAAGUUUUUCAAAAAUUUUAAUCAUGGUAGUGGGCCUUUGAUCAACCAAAGAUAGCCCAUGUAUCAUUUUCCAAAGUGAAGCACAACAACCUUAUAACAGUGAUGUCACAUAGCAAUUCAUUAUUCAUUAUUUUGUUUUCCCUUUUCAAUGUGGAUUUUCUUAAAGCUAUUAAAAAAACACACAAAAUCAAGAUUUGAGCAUGGGUCUUUCACAAUAUCUUUUAUAUACUAAUAAUUAUAAAUUAAUUAAAAUGAAAUUAUUAUAAAUAAGUUAAUUUUAAUUAUCUUAUUAUGUCUCAUAUAAAGUGAUUAGAUAUAGGAUAAAUAUAAAUUUAUAAAUAAAAUUAUUAACAUUUUCAAAUAAAAAAUAUAAAUAUAUAUCAAUUUUUUUUAUAUCCUUUAGUAUAUCUAAACUUAAUGCAUUAUCAUUUUAGUAUUAAUAUUUCCCAAUUCGGUAUAUUAUUGUCUGAGAUUACAAAUUUAUUAUACAUUUAUCAAUUUUUCUUAAAACAAUAUCAUUAUAUACAUUAUUACUUUUCUAUCAUUUUUUGAGUUAUUUCCAACAUUUCAUAAGGUUUUAUCAAUUUCCAUCUUAUAUAUAUAUAUAUAUAUAUUUCAGAAUUUUCAUUGAUAUUUCUUUAUAUAUCUAUAAACUCCAACUAAUGAUAUAUCGGUAAAAAUCAAUAUUUUUAUUCUUACUUAACAUAAGAAAGAAAAUUAUUCAAAUGGUGCAUAAAUUAAUGUGACCUCCUGAUGAGAAUGACAAUGACAACCAUGAGUCAUAAUUAGUGUAUGUGUGUGGUAAAUUAACUUAGUGUUUGAUAAAAUAAUUAUUUAUCAUCAUUUAAAAUUUAAAAAUAAAUUUAAAUGUUAAAUCAAAAUAAUUAACUUAUUCUAAAUACUAAUUUUUUUUAUUCUCUUUGUUCAUAUUUGGUGAUAACCAUGCUUUAUUUUUAGAAUUCUUUUUUUUUUUAGUAAAUAUUUUGUAGUUAUUUUGUAGCUUCACAAUAGUACUUUUUAAUAUAAAUGUUUAACAAGCUUGAGUUUAUGAAGAUAAAUAUUAAGAAAAAUUAAUGAGUUUAAAUAUAUCAAUAUAAUAACUUUUAAAAAAUUAAGUUGAUUUUACCAAAAUAAAAAUAAAAAUAAUUCAUCUUAAAAUUAAUUUCAAUAAUUAAGUAAUAAGGAUUAAGUUUUAUCAUACACUCUCUUAAUUAAUAAAUGACAUAACUUCUUUCAACAACUUCUUCGUUCUACUUUUGAAAAAAAAUAAUAAUAAUGUGAUAUUUAUUUAUUUAUGUCUAAAAUUUAAAUAUACUUGAAUUUGACUUAAAUCUAAAUAUAGCUUAAUAUUAUUAAGUGUUCAGACUAUUUUUUUUUAUUUGUGUCUAAAUAUUAUUAACUGUUAAAUUGUUUCUUUUUAUUAAUAUCAAAAUAUGUGAAGUGUUAAAUUUAUUUAUUUUUGGUUAAAAACAUUUAUAAAAGUAAUUGUUAUAUUUCUUCUUAUUUUAAUUUGAAAAGUUAUAAUUUAACAAAAUAGUAAUUUAAUUAACACAUCUAAAAAAUAUUAUAAUACAUUGUCAAAGUAAAAAUUUUAUAAUGAUAAUUAUGUAAUUAGUAAAUUAUAUUAUUGUACAAUCCAUUGUUCCAUGUCGUAUAAUAUAGAAUAGCUAUGCAUACCCAUCAGUGCAUAGACAUAUAUCUUUUGAUAAUCUAUCAUGAAUGUCACCUGGACUCUAAGUGAAGUAUGUAGCUAUUAUACUAUAAAGAUGGCAUAGGAAGAGGCUCCGGGUUUACUAGUUCUCACUCAACCAUAGAAAUAGGGAAUAUAUUGCACAUUAUUUUCAUCUAAAAGAAAGGUAGAAAGACCUUAGAAAUGGAACUUUUAGAUAAAACCUAAGGGUGGCAAUGAGAUGAGUCUAAGAAGGAUCACCUCAAUCUCAAUCUUAUGCCAUUUAUUUAUAUUAAAUGGGGUGAGAUAAGACAAAAUUAUAUUCGAACCUGUCUUGAAUUUGGUUCGAGGGCAAGAAGGGUCUUUACAAAAAUCAGCCUCAUUGUCAUUCUUAGGUACGCAUCUAUACCAAUGAAAGUUUUUACAUCUAUUAAAAAAUUUAAUGUUCCCGAUGUUAAUUAACUUCACCAGACUACAUACACUUCAUAAUCGUGAAAAAGUGUUAAAAUUCUCAACCAAUCAAUGACAUAAACUACAAUCAAGUUUAGUACAUCGUAACCCUAAAAUACCUCCAAACCCCAUUUCUUGUAAGACCCCCUUCUGAUUAGGUUGCAAAUGUUGAAGUGCAUUAUACAACUAAUUAGGCGAACAACAAGUGUCAAGGUAAGACUGCAAGCCAUACAUAUACAUAUGCAUAUAAAUUCGAAAUUGAAAGAAAAUAUUAUCAAAUUUUAAAAAGAUAAAUUUCAAUUUUUUUUUUGUCUUUGAUACAUUUUUUGAGCUUGUACCAUUUUGUUUUACAUAUUCAUUGGAGUAUUUCUUCAUCAUGGGUCUUCAUCCAUUAGGGCACCAAGGAGAGCAAGUUCAUUGGCACGUGCUUUAAUGGUAUGUAGGAAGGUAGUGAUGCUUUGCAAACCCUUGGUGUGAUUCUUAAGGUGGUUGUUGACUUGUUUAAUGUAGACAUGUGAUAGUUUGACAUAGGUAUUGGUGAAGAUGAUCUAUGCUUCACGAAAGGUUGUGGCACAGGCAAUGAAUGGAAUUAUGGUGGGUGAAACGGAGCCAAUAAGUGCAUUUAGGAUCAAUUGAUCUUGAUGAAGCAAGAAUAGGUUGGGUUGGGUAUUACAGUGUCGUUGGCAUAGUGGUGGGUGGACAAGGUUUGGUUCUAUCAAUAUAGCUAAGGCGGUCAAAGCCAAUAAAUAGUGUUUGGAAUUGAAAUCUUUAUGAUAUAUAGUUGGUAGUGGUUAGUUUAAGUGGGGCUCGAGCAAAAACAUUUAUUGAGAUGAGUAUUUGGUGUGACUCAUGGGUGUUGUGAAUAUUGAGAGUAGAAGUUACAGAAGUGGUGACAUCUUAGGUGGCCAUGAGGCUAUGAUGAUGGGGAGGAGCAUUAGAUGGCUUUGGCAUAGAAAAAGAGGUAAGAAGGAAGAACAAGUGGUGGUGAGGGUUUUCAGGUUAAGAAGCUUGAAUGCUCUGAUGUCAUAUUGAAGAAUGAGAUUGGUAAAUUAUUUUUCUAGGUUGAUUCUAUGUUGCUUAUAUGCAUGAUUCACCAAGGGUUUCUGACAAGCAUUAGCUAAGGGUGGCUGAACCCAAUGACAGACCAGAUGAAGGAUUAAUAAUAUAUUGCACUCCAGCAGUUCAACCAAUUCCCUUCGUUUCCUUAAUGACUUCUUUUGGUGACCUAUCAAUUUCUCUCUUGGAAAGUCUAGUAAUGGGUUGCCAAUUACCUAAAAGUUACUUCUGAGGUUUUGUUUUGUUGAUUCUAUGCUAACUGAUAAUCUGCAGAGGAAACAACUUGUUCGUCUGGAGAAGGUCUUGAAGCAUGCACUGUGAUGAAUUUGACCAGAAGAGUAAACUCAUCAAGUCCAUAUUAAGUCAUCAGGUUCCAGUAGAGCUAUUUCAAAAACUUCUUUAAUGCAUUAGCAUUUAAAAAUUGAAACAAUAAAAUAACAUAUAUUAUUGAUACUAUCAUUUAAAACAAGAAAUAUAUUGUUGAUAAUGGCAUUUAAAACAAUAAAAUAGUGCAUUAGACCUGCAUUCAAAUCUUCAAUUCUCAAACACCACCAACCCACCCAUGAAUAGAGAAAGAGAAGAGAACCCUAGCAAAAGUAGAGAGGUUCGAUUCUCAAAUCUUCAAUUUUCUUUUUAUGUGUUCAAGUCAUUUUUAUUUGUUAAAUGAUUCCAGCUACUACUUGGGUCUAGUAUUUCCUUGGUGUAUAUAUCAUGCACUUCUCAGUAGAAUGCCCAUAGACAUGGAGAAACAAUUUUUUAUUUAUUUGCAAUGCCUAAUAUAAAUUAAUAAGCACCUAAUUUUUUGUUUCAGCUAUGAAUGGUAUUUUUCUCUAGAUCAUAAGUACGUUGGUUGAAUUUUAAAAAAUUUAUACCAUUUCAGCGACUAAUUAAUAUCAUGCAAUAGAAAAACAAAGUUGAAAUUUGGGAUAAUAAAUAUCAUUAAAGUACAAAGAAAGUAACUUAUUGGGAGCAAAUUCUUCACAACCUGGCAUUCGCCUUUAGAUUAAAUAAUUUAUUAAUAAUCUCCUCUUUCUUUCUAAACUUAUACCGCUGUUUAUGAAAGUUUCUAAAAACCAAAGCCCAAAGCCUAGACUAUAAAAAGGAAAUAAUCACUUGGAGAGGGGUUGUUUGUUUUUCUUGAGAGCCUAAUAAAUGCAACGACAUAGACAGAAAGAGGCGGAAGAGUUGAGUCGGAGGAUCAAGAAACACAACCAUUCUUCUCUUUCAUUAGGGUUUUUGGCUGACUCUAAGGCCGUCUUACCUUCCUCUUAGAAUGAUGGCCUCUCGUUUCUAUACAUAUCCUUUCAUGCAUUUUCUGGCUCUCCCAUUCUCUUUUUCAAAGCUACGUCUUUCCUCAUAGACCCUGUUUGGUUUCUAAGAAAGUGGUCUAGGUCUCUUUCUUUUUCUUGAUUUAUCUUUUGGUUUACAAGAAUCAGCGACACAAUAAGACUGCCAUGAACGCAUGACGCAGCCACGUGGGAGAAGGCAGCAACCACUUUCGCAUUUUUACUAUGUAUCUCCAGAAACUCCUUUGUACAGCCCACACACGCGCUAAUGAAGCAGAUUCAGCAGAUUUUAAGAGGGGGAAUCUUGAAACCACACAACAUCAAGAGACUUGGCCGGAAGUGUGAUGAUGGGUGUUUCCGAAGAAGAGUUAUAAUUCGCCCACUGUUAAAUAUGGUCAUAGCCGUGAAGGGUCCCACGAGCCUUGAAUUUGUCACUACAUGCAAAAUAUAUGCAGAAGUGAUUGAAAAUGCAUGGCCACCUUUUCCUGCAUGUGAAUGUGUUGAGCUCUAUGGUGCAAUUACUAAUGGAAUUCUCAAUUUAGCUGAUAAGUAUUUUGAGAUGCAAAAGCAUGAUGCUGUCCGGGCAUCGGAAAUUUAUCAGAAAGCAGGAGAGCCAUCAAGCAUUCACUCGACAAGCAAGAGUAACACAUAGGCCACACCAUUCUCCAAAUAGACACAACAACAUACAUUCUUGAAGGCAAGUCCCUUUUUAAAAUUUUAUCUUAGUUUAAUUUUAAUUUAUUUAGUUAGUUUAGAUGUUUUUUUCAAAAUUAGUUUAAUUAAUUCUACAUGAUAAAGCUCUUAUUUUUCAUUUCGAUUUAGUUUAGUGUUGAUUUUUCUUUUAGUUUAAGUGUGUUUGCGAUUUUAAUUCAAUAGCUUAAUUAUUCUUAUUAGAUAAAGUUCAUAUAUAUAUAUAUAUAUAUAUAUAUAUAUAUAUUAUCCCAAAUUAGUUUAGUUUUAAUCUAUCUUUUAGUUUAAGUGUGUUAGUAAUUUUAAUUUAGUUGUUUAAAUAAUCAUGUGAGAUAAAGUUCAUGUUUUUAAUUCUAAUUAGUUUCAUCUUAAUUUAUUCUUUAGUUUAGAUUUGUUGUUGACAGUAAUUUACUAUUUUAAUUAAUCUUAUUAGAUAAAGUCUAAUUAAAAUUAGGUUAGUUUUAAUUUAUUCUAUAGUUUGAGUGUGUUUGCGAUUUUAAUUCAAUUGUUUAAUUAAUCCUCUUAGGUAAAGAUCUUGUUUUUAAUUCCGAUUUAGUUUAGUUUUAAUUUACUUAUUUAUUUAUUUUAGUUAAGAUGUGUUUGUAAUUUUAAUUCGACAAUUUAAUCGACCUUAUUAGAUAAAGUUGAUGUUUUUAAUUCCAAUUUAGUUUAAUUUUAAUUUAUUUUUUAGUUUAAAUGUGUCUGUGUGUUUAAUUGACCUUAUGCUAGCUCUUGAUUUGUUAUUCUCAAUUUAGGUGUUUUCUUGAAUCUUAGUCAUUAAUUCUUGGUGGAUAUCUCAUUAGUUUAUUUUAUCUAAGUCUUAAUAAUUUAUUAUUUCGAUAGUCUCUUGUCAAAUUUACUUUUCAGAGGCCAUCGGAAAAUAGUGAAGAUUGACCUCCAUUCUCACCACUUUAGUUUGUUUGGUUGUCAAAAUUUUUACUUUGUGAUUUUGUUUGCUUUUAUUUUGCUUGUUUCUUAUGUUUUGAUUGUUUUCAAAUUAAUUUCUUUUAUUUUAAAAUAAAAUAUUUUUCUCAAAAGAUCCAUUUGAAAAUUCUAUUUUAAAAAUCAUUCAUUUAGACUCCUUAGAAUCAAAAUCUCAUUUUUUAAUAAUAUGUAACCAUGUCUUGAUCGGUUUGUAUCUUUCACAGUUUUCAAUCAAAAUUCCGAUUUGGAAUGGAAUAUGAAUCCGAGCUUGUGGUCCCAAACAAAUGGGAUAAUUCUGGUCUAGAUUUGUGUAUAUCAAUUGAGGAAUUGGUGGAACCCCUACAUAAGAAAAUUCUUCAAAACUCAUCUUUGCAGCCACCUUUGCUAUUUCAUGAAAUCAUGUAUAUUUAUUAUUUAGGAAUUAUAUACAAGAUGUAUGUGAUAAUUGAUGAUUUCGUAUACUUUGAUCAUUUUUGCUAGGCUAAUUAGAUAACAAGCACAUUAGGAUUUUUUUUAUUUUAUUAUCUAACCCCUCAUGUCUUGUAGAAGCAUGUUACAAGUCAUCUAUCCUAAUAUAUAUUUUAUUAUAUAUUAGUUUUUUUUUUCUUUUUUUAAUCCUAUCUAUGUUGUUGAUAUUAAUGCAUUGAAUUUGAUGCUACCUAAAACAAAAUUAUAUUUCAUGUCCUCUAUUAUAAGUGGACAAUCAUUCCUUAUUUUAGAUUUUAGAUAAAGAACGAAUAAUGAAGAUUGGAGUUGUAAGAAAUUAGGAGAUCCUAAUUUUAAAUAUGUAACAAAGUUCUAUAAUCACUCCAGUACGUUUAAAAUUUGUAUUUCUUUCUAAUAUGGGAGCAAACUUUUUCCUUCUUUCUUAUAAUUUUCAUUUGGGAAUGAUUUAAAAAUAAAUAAAUAAAGGCCCUUCUAAAUAUUAAAAAAACACUCUCUUAUAAAAAUUAAUUAGGUGGAUGGUAAGGUCAAAUUCGGGAUAGCUUCAUAUUUUUUGCUUUAACUGAAAAUUAAAAUCAAAAUUAAAGUAAGAAUUUUUAAGAUGUUGUAAAAGUUUUAUUAAACAUGAAAGAACUUAUUGUGUAAACAAAAAUAGAACUAUAGAAUUUUUAUAAGAAAUAACAUUUUUAUGACUUCUAUAUGAAACCUUUUUUAAAAGUGAUAAGUUUUUUUUUUUAAAUAAUUAAAUAGGUAUAAAAACUUUUAUUCAACUUAAUUUUUUUUAACGGUUAAAAGUCAAUUCAAAUAAAAUUUAAAUAUAUUUGAAAAUCAUUUUUAAAAAUAAAAAAAAAAAACCACUUUUUUUUUAAUUUACAUUUAAUUCAUGAAAUUUCAUUUAUUGUUAUUUAUUUUCGGGAUUUAAUUCUUUGCAAUUGUUUUUGAGUGUUUAUAAAGUAUAAUUAGGUUAUGCCCAAAUUUAUUCCUUUAACUCUAUCCAUUAGAUAUAAGUAGCGUGAAAUUUUGGCCCAUCUCCACCUUUCUUCACUUCUGACAUUGUCAUGCACUACUUCAUCAACUCCAAACACAACCGCUGAGGAUCGAAGAAAAUGAGACAAUGGUCAAUAAAAUGAAAGUUUAAUCAUUUAAUCUUUUUUAGCACACCCCUCAUAACUGUCAGUGAUUUCCUGCCAACUUAACAUAUUGACAUGGACUUGGAGAGUUCGGUCAAUUGCAGCAGCUUGGUUAAUUGUAAGUGUCUUUUCUCUAAACCAUAAAUUCCUACGUUUUAAUUUACAAAAGCCAGUGAUUUUUUUUUACUUAAGGAAGCAGGAAAGGGUUUAAAAUAAGAGUUGAAAAGUAUGCCAAUUAUUUUAACUUUAAGAAAAAACGUUUAUUUUAAUUUAAAAUAAGUAAAUCAAAAGGAAUUGAUUUUAUCUCAAUUGUAUAAGAUUUUAUAAAAAUUAUCUUAUUUGCAAAAUAUUUUCAGAUGUAAAAGUAAAAAAUUAAACAAAUCAUUUGAUGAUCAUAGUCUAAUUUUAAAUUAUUAGAAUAAGUCAAUCCUCUAAACUAUAUCAUUUAUAAUUUUUUUGAUUAUUAAUAUGAUACGUAACCUUCCACGGAAUUGGAAUAAAAUAUGGAUAAUUAAAAAAUGUCAACUAUCCCAUUUCAAACUUUUCUAAUAUAGCAUGAUAUUUUAACAUGAUGAAUGAAAUGGGAAUGACCAAAAAUUGUAAAAUCAAAGAUAUAUCUAUUGUGGACAUGGCAUUCGGAGGCUUCUUAACAUUGUAUUGGUCUACUUAAUGAGUUGAAACAGGAACACAACACCAAAUUCUCUUUUUAUAAUCAAAGACUUCCAUGGAAAAUUCCACCAUAUCAUAUCUCAAAGAUUAGUCAAAUUCCAUUAUCUUUAUAGACUUUUAACAAUCCAAGAAAUUGACAUUAAUAAUCCCAUACACAAUAUUCUACAACUUUACAUUAUCUUGAUUGAAGAUAAUCAUAUUAUUUCAUUAACAAUUCAAGAAAUUCCAUUAUCAAUCAAAAAAUAAAUCAUGAAAGCUAAAUAAUACAAAUAUUCAAUGAAAUCUUUGGCGUGUUAUUUCUUUACAGCUUCAACAUGGUGGCAUGUCCGACGGAGGAGGCAGCAUUUGAGCUUCCGGGUGUUUACCAUUUUUCAUUAUGAACGCAGUUUCCAUGCCCCAAGUCAGAUGGCGUUCUACAUGGCAGUGCAUGAACCACACUCCUGCAACAGAGAAAAUAUACCAACAUUACACCUAACUUAAUUGUAAUAUUAAGAAAAAUUAUUUCCUUGGUAUGCAGGUUAGCAGUUUCAAGGGUUUUUAUUUUUUAUUUUUAAUAGACGACAUGAGUGCUUGGAACAUACCAGGGUUGGAUGCCUCAAAUCUGAUUGCAACCCAACCAUUCGAAGGAACGGAGAUGGUAUUCUGAAAGGGAGGAUCCACCAAAUUAUAGCGUAAAGGGUCCUUAUUUCCAUCGAAAUUCCCAAAUCCCCAUCCAACAACAUAGAAACUGUAUCCAUGGAGAUGCAUGGGGUGGUGUGUUGCUGCAAGCACGUUUGUCCCUUGAAAAACAAUCUCCACUGUGGAGUUAUACUCGAGCACCCUUACUUCUGUUCCGCUGCUUGGCAACUGAUAGAUUAAUGGAAGAUAAUCAGCUGUAAAAUCGAACACCAGUGGUAGAUCGCUAGGAAAUUUAUCUCCAUAAACACCACUGAUGUUAUAAUAGUAAGCUUGUAGUAUGUCAACUGUAGGGGUAUCGAAGCUUAUGUUGUUUAUACUUGAGGAGAACCGCGUCCCAUUGGCCCCUGCACAUGAAUUAUUGACGCAUGGGUACGAGUUUACAGAAACAGUGUAAAUCAGGUUAGUGCUUGUGCUCAAUGGGACAUUGCAAGGAUGUUCCGCAUCUACUAAGCUUCGAAGGCCGGCCAUGACCUGAACCGACGCAUUUGUGUCAUUGUAUGCAGGAAGAAGAGGGAAGGAUGGAGGCGAAGAUGGAGUGUAGUAUCCGUUGUACUGUACAAUAGCUGUGGUGGUUGUGUUAUCAUAAAAAUCUUGAUAUUUCGGGGCAACAGAAUAAGUUAUAGCUGCCAUGUAAUAGUGAUCCGGGCGUUGGUUAGCUUCUAGUAAGACAUCGUAGGUUUGGCCAGGAAAUAUUGUGAUAAAAUCUCGUGUCAAUGGUUUCGUGUAGCUACCAUCUGUUCCAACCACUGUCAUUUUAUGCUUGGCAAUGGAGAAGAAGAGAGCCUCUUGUAAGGCAGCAUUGAUUAUGCGAAGUAGAUAGGUCUUUCCAUGAUCCACUGUUAGCUUGAAUGUGUCUGCAAUUAGAAAGGGAAAGUUGUAUACUUAUGACUAGCCAAAAAAAAAACAAAAAGUUUCCAUGAGGAUCCACCAAUUAUGAAGUGAUUGAUUGAUUAGGUGUGUAAAUUUGGCUGCAUAGUUCAAAAUUAUAUUUGGACUAGCCUUUUUUUUGUGUGUUAAAUCAUGGCUCUACCAUCCUUAUAGCUAUAUUCCUCUUUCUUAGCAUUAACCUUUAAAUAUGUUGAUGUUAAUAAGAAAAAGUACUAGGGUUAACAUACAAGAAAAUGAAAUCAUGUACAAUUUUAAAACGGGAAGUUAAACUUUGUACCUGAUUUUGAGCAUGGAUAUAGAUCACCGGGUUGUCCAUUUAUCAAUAAAGCAUCAGAGGGGUCAGGGUCACCUCCGGUUGCAAGCCCUUCAUCUCGAACCGCAUUCACAUCAUUCUUCCACCAUUCUCCUGCAUUUCAACAACUUCAAUAAUUUUAGAUUUUGCUUUGUUGUUUAAUUCUUAAUAUGUAAAUUAACCUUUAAAAGUAACAACACUUAUACCUAAUAUGAUGGGGACCUCUCUGUCAGGCUUGUGAAAAGGAUACUUGGUUCCAUUCUUGGGAUAGAUGAUUAUAGCUCCAUGAACAGUGGCUCGGGUCCAGUCACUGUGAGCAUGCCACCAUAGAGUGCCUUCUUCAGUGGAAAGGAUGAUCUUCUGGGUAAACUUUGACCCUGGCUGAAUUGGGCAUUGUGUGAUAUACUCAGGACCAUCUGUCCAUGGAUAUCUAGGCAUGGUCACCCCAUGCCUGCGAAACCAUAACUAUACGUUAAAACUAGUACUAAUUUUCAAAGUAACAAAAGAUGGCAUGCAACAACAUAUUAUCAUAGUAACAAGAGGCAUCAACUGUAUUUCAAUGAAACUGAAGCAAAUAACCCUAAAGUAUUAUUUUAAAUUUGACUUUAUUUUCAAAGUAAUAUAUUGGAGCCCCCUCUUAGAAAUAAAAGAAUGUAUGCCAUGUUGGCAUGCUGCCACUGCUCUUUCUCUGAGACACGCAUAGGACCUACCAGUGAAUGGUAACGUUUUCGUUUCCCUUGUUAUAAACGUCGACAAUGAUCGUCUCUCCUUUCGUAGCAUAUAUGGUUGGUCCCGGAAAUUUUCCAUUUACUGUUAAGAUGUUCUUGGCACUACAAAGCCUUGUAUAUGAAGCUUCCCUCACCUGCAAUCAAUUAAAAGUUAACCAUGCAACCUCAUCCCAAAAGAAAUAUUACAUGCAUGAAUAGUUGCAUCGAUCCAUUCACGUAAGUGUAUAACCAAUUAGAAAUUGAUAGCAUGCAUGAACGACUCAAUGACACCAAGGUAAUAGAUCAUACGGUAUGAAAUGAGAGCCAUACUACUCCUUAAAUAUCAUGAUUAGAAGGUGGCGUUAAGGCCAGAAUCAUAUAUAGUAUUUACCACAAAAGUAAGCCGACGGGUUGAAGCUUGGCAAUGGAUGCCACCACCAAAAACUAGAAACGCUAAAAUUUGCAGGAGGAAAACCUUCAUGAUCAGCCACAUUUUCCUUGGAAUAAAAGCCUCUUCUCUUCUCUUGCCCUAAACACAACUCCUUCAAUUCUCUUACUACUUUUGAUGUAUUUCUUUCACAUGUGAUUCAUUAUAUAGGCAUGGUAAUUCUCUCGGGAUACAAUACUUCCUCUCCACGUGUCAAUAUAAGAGGAAGUGAUUUGAAUGUGUAUUGGUUUUUAAUGUUCUUUCAGGACGACUUCAAAAUAAUUAAUUAUGAUAUUUCUUACAAGUUACCUACGCGUUCUUUUAGAAUAAAUUUAAAAUAUUCUUUCACAAGUCUUUUAUUGAUUAUUUCAACAAAUGUUAAUUAAUUAAAUAUAUGUAGGAUGCUUUUAAAACUUUGACCUCCCUAUGAGUAGCCUUCUGAAGAUCGUUGGUGGCAAAGUUGUUUUCGUAUAGUUAAUACAAUUUGUCAUCGUCGUUGUUUUCGUUUGAAUGGGACAAAGUUGUUUCCAAUUUUUUUUAAAACUUGGGAAUUGAGAUUAUAAAAGACAAAGUUGUUAAUACAACUUCAGAAUCGAUGAUAAACUAAUUCGGUAUUUCAGAAUUUUCCAUAAAAAAACACAAAAAUAUAUUUUGUAAAAAGUUGAAAAUAGGAUACAAACAACCCCUUGUAGUAUUUUUUUUUUUCUCAACAAAAACCAAUUUAAUAACAAUAAUAAUAAAUAAUUAUAGAUUUAAAAGAUAAUCUGAAAUUUCUUUCAAUAUAUAAGCCUUGUACGUGAUGUUGGUUGACUAUUAUGAUAGUAAAUUCGGGAGGAUGCUUGCAUGUAAAAAUUUUAUUUUAUUUUAUUUUUAAUCAUGGAGCACAUUUUGAUAGAUUCUGAUUUAUAAUACUGCAUCAAUGGUCAUGAACAUUGCAAUCAUGAUUUUUUUUGAGAUGUUUAAAUGGACGUGAAAGAUAAGAAAUAGAUUUUCUAUUAAGAUAUUUGAAUGGAGAUGAAAGCAUGGGUAUAGGUUUGUACUAAGGAAAUGAACAUAUGAUUAAAAUAAACCUGAUACAGUUAGUCUAUAAGAAUGGAUCCUGUUUCUAACCUUUUAACACACAAAUUUGGAAACCUAAACCUCUGGAUUGUUUCUUUCCUAUAAUGGAAUCCUAUAUUCCUUCUCAAAGCAGCGCUGACUUUUCCCUUCCUACCAAAUACGAAGAGAAAAUCUUGACUAAUCUUGAUAAAGUUUUAAAAGUAUUCUACAUAUGUUUUAAAUUUAUUCUAAAAUAAUGUGUUUGAUUAAUUUCUUGGUCAAUUCUCAAAGUCAAACUUGUAUUUUGAAUUAGAAAAUUCAAGAGAUUCUAAGAAACUCAUCUUCUAGGAUACACAACCUGAUUGAAGCUGAGCUGUGAGAAAUUUUCACAAUUGUUAGCAUUCUUCAGGCAUUUGGUUUAUUUAAAUUUUGGUAAGUAAUCAAAUAUCAUACACAACCUGCUCUUUGAAGUGGUCCUGGAAGAACAUUCAAAACCAAUACACAUUCAAAUUACUUCGCUUAUAUUGAUACGCGGCGAGGAAUUGUUGAUACCCAAGCCACAUGUGAUCUGAUUUAAUGUAGCUGCCACAAAGUUGCUACUUUCAUUCUCAGACAGUCUGAAGCAAUUAGAAAAUGUGAAUCGGAGGCCCCCACAUUCCUUGGAUCUGUAGACACUUGAUGGACACAAAAUGUUUUCCAUAACUGUGCAAUCAUGGGCAUCUAUUUCUUCUAUACUUGAUGGAAGCUCUGGUAAUGAUUGAAGCCUCUUGCAAUAACCCAACCUAAGGCCUUUGAGCUGUGAAAGUUGAUUGAGGCUUGCAGGUAGAUUAACAAAAUUGUUUCUGCUCAGAUCUAAAUAUUCCAAUGAGCACAGAGAGCUAAAGUCAUUGGGAAUUGGUCCUUCCAAUAUGCGGCAAUCACUUAGAUUUAACUUUCUUAGGGAUCUUAAACCAAAGAAAGAUGCAGUUGCAAACGCCUAGAGCGUGGAAUUUCUGCAGGCAACAACUGGAAAGAGAGGAGCAAAUUCCUUGGCUUGGAUUCUAGUCCUUUACAUCCCUCAAAUGAUAAUACUUCAAGGUUUUCUGAAAGAGAAAUAGAGGGCGGCAGCUCUUUUACAGAGUUCCAGCUGCUCCGAGCUUCUCUAAACCUUGUAGGCUCCCCGAACCUCUGGCAAAUUGUCUAGUUUUGAGCAACCAGAUGGAAUAAGAGUUUGAAGAGAUUUCAACUUACAAAUGCUAUGUGGAAGAAUUGCAAGGCUUUUGCAUUCUCUCAGAUUCAACAGAACAAGUCCACUUAGAUGUUGGAUAGGUGAAGUUAGCUCUUUUAGAGCAGUUCCAUCUAAGAAAAGUUCCAACAAACUCCCCAUAUUUUCCAAGACUUCUGGAAGCUCUUUUGAGUUUUAAGCAAUCUGAGAGAAUAAGAAUUUCAAGGGAUCUCAACCUAUAAAUACAGCUUGGUAAUGACUCAGGGUUUUGACAGUUCCUCAGAUUUAAUAAAACAGGUCCAGUCAGAUAUUCAAUCGACAAGGGCAAUCCUUUUACUGCAGUGCCCUCCAAGGAAAGCUCUGAUAAAUGUUUCAUGCACCCUUGGACCUCUGGAAACUUCUUGAGUUUCGAGCACCCGGAGAGAGUAAGAAUUUUGAAGAGAUUCCAUACAGAUGCUUCUUAGAAAACUCUUAAGAUUCUCGCAGCCUUCUAAAUUAAGGAAAACAAGCUUGUUUAGAUCUCCAGUGGAUGGGUGAACCUUGGACAAACUUGUACAACCUUCAAGAAUUAGUCUCCUAAGGUUUGGGGCCCCCGAGAAGUCUGGGGUUUCAAUCAGGUGUUGGGAGUAGCUAAGUUUUACGAAUUUCAAUUGCUGAUACAUCUGUCAAAAACAAAACAGAAAAAAUGAUUAUAAUUCGUUUAAAGUGAAAGACGAAACUUGCAAAGAUUAUAAUCAUAUACCUUGAGUCCUUUCCAAAGUUGUUCAACUCGACUGUAACUCAUAUUUAGCUCGACAAGCUGCUCAGGAUGAAAAUUUAAUGGGAGGGAUUUCAGAGGGUAUCCAUGCCAAUAUAGACAUCUUAAGUUGUUCGAUAGAGAUUUGAAGUCUCCAGAAAGAAGCAAUUUACAGUCUUUGAAUUGAUUGAGCUUAUUCAUCCUUGUGCAAGCAUCAGCCAGCACAUAACUGUUUCCAAGAAAAAUAUUCAAAGCUUCCACAUAGCCGCACGUUACAGACUUUGAGCAAUCUUAAUUUGUUCAUCUUCAUGAAGGCAUCAAAACUGAAGUGUAGUUCCUUUGAUGCUGACAAGUCAAGGACUAUGCCUUCAACUACUUCAGUUCCUUGCAAUUAACCAGGAACAGAGUAUGGAUUGGAAAUUAAAAUCACAAAAUUCUAAAAGGAAAAGCACAGAAAGCAUCAAACUAAUGACUUGUUUUCUUGUUUUUUUAGGCAGUGUUCUAGGAAGCAAGUAUGAAGAUAAAAGAAAAUGCAUCUACUAAGACAGAAACUCAGGGAAAAGUUAGCAAAGGAUUCAAAUCAAAUCAUUCCCCCAGCUUUAUAUCUGCCUUUGCAUACAUAAAUAUGCAAUACCUUAUUAAAAUUGUACAUAUAUGUGAGUUUCUCAAAUAAGUUGAAAUUAUUCAAACUUCCUCUUCACCUAUAGAGCUUAUAUAUACAAAAAGGGAACACACACACAAAGUUCAUGUAUUUAGGUCUUACUAUGUUUCUAGUUAAUGCAUCACUAACAUCUUCAUGAAUCCACAAUCUGCUGUGUUUUCCAGGAUAUUUAAGAGAUUCUUGCCAAACAAUUUCCCAACCCAUUUCUUGUAACAAAUCAUGCAUGCACAACUUAUUAUCUGAAACAAUUAUGAGUGACUUAUCAACGAGAACCCUUAUUCCAAUAUCCGGAAAGAAACCACAACUCUCUAGUAUUUCUGUGACAAAAUCUUUGUCCUCCCAUUUUCAAAAGCAUGCAAUAUCGAGAAAUAUAUCUCUUUGUCAUCUAAUCCAUCAAAACCCAUUUUAAGCACGUUCUGAAUUUCCAUGUUGCUAAUUCUUUUUAGUUUGUCCAAUUCACUUUUCCAUUCAAGUAUGCUCUUGCUAUACAAAAAAGCACCUAAGACUUCAAGAGCUAAGGGAAGACCCUUACUAUAAUGUAUUACAUCAUAGCAUAGCUGCAUAUAAUCUUCUCCAGGGUGGUUAUGUUUAAAGGCAUACUGACGAAAGAGUUGAAAAGCUUCACUAUCCUCUAAUCCCCUAACUUCAUAAAUUGCACUGACUCCAUGUGUAACAAGCAAAUGCUUUUCUCUGCUUGUUAUAAUAAUUCUACUUCCUGAACCAAACCAAUCAUGGUUUCCUGCUUAAUAUUCUAACUGUUCCAAGUUAUCCACAUCAUCAAGAACAAUAAGAACCUUCUUAGAGUGGAGCCUAUCCUUUACAAAAUUGAUUCUUGUAUUGGAAAUUCCUACAUUUGGAUUUCCAUCCUUCAAUGUCUUUGAGAGAAGUUCCACUUGUAAAUGAUCUAGAACACAUUUUUGUGAGCCUUCUCUAACACUUGUAAAUGAUCCAAUAAUUGGUUCAAACAGUUCAAAAUUGGUCCAAUAAAUAUACCCUUCAAAAGGAGAAAUUGAACCAGAAAUGUCGCUUGGUGGUUGGAUCAAUUAGACCAACUGAUUUGUUUCAAUUUUCAAAAAAUAUUGCUUUAACAUGUAUGAUAAUCAAAAUAUAGGAAAAAAAACUAUUUACUAAGAAAUGAGAUUAUUAUAACAAAAUAGAAAAUGUAAUCUAUUUUAAUGAUAUGAUGACUUGUAACUAGAUGAAACUUUGACCAGCAAAGAAAAACAAACAAAUCUUGAGGAAUUAGAAAAUAUUAUCUUUUAUAUUAAACUUAUCUUUGUGUAAAAGCUCUCUACAAUUAACUAUGGGUUUUCAUAAAGCUUUAUUUAGGCUAUGUUACAUUCUUGGAAAUUAAAAAAAAAAAAAUGUAAGAAAUUAAUAAAUUAUUUUUUUCAUUAAUAUAAAUUAAAUAAUUAAAAUACCUAAAUUUUUCAAAAUUGUUAAUCAUGGUAGUGGGCCUUUGAUCAGCCAAAGAUAGCCCAUGCAUCAUUUGCCAAAAUUGUUAAUCAUAGUAGUGGGCCUUUGAUCAGCCAAAGAUAGCCCAUGCAUCAUUUGCCAAAGUGAAGCACAACAACCUUAUAAUAGGGAUGUCACAUAGUAAUUCAUUAUUCAUUAUUUUGUUUUCCCUUUUCAAUGUGGAUUUUCUUAAAGCUAUUAAAAAAUCACAUAAUAUCAAGAUUUGAGCAUGGGUCUUUCACAAUAUCUUUUAUAUACUAAUAAUUAUAAAUUAAUUAAAAUGAAAGAAUUAUAAAUAAGUUAAUUUUAAUUAUCUUAUUAUGUCUCUUAUACAAUGAUUUAAUAUAGGACAAAUAUAAAUUUAUAAAUAAAAUUAUUAACAUUUUCAAAUAAAAAAUAUAAAUAUAUAUCAAUAUAUUUUUUAUAUCCUUCAAUAUAUCUAAACUUAAUGCAUUAUCAUUUUAGUAUUAAUGUUUCCCAAUUCGGUAUAUUAUUAUCUAAUAUUACAAAUUUUUUAUACAUUUAUCAAUUUUUCUUAAAACAAUAUCAAUAUAUACAUCAUUAUUUUUCUAUCAUUUUUUGAGUUAUUUCCAACAUUUCAUGAGGUUUUAUCGAUUUCCAUCUCAUAUAUAUAUAUAUAUUUCAGAAUUUUCAUUGAUAUUUGUUUAUAUAUCUAUAAACUAGAACUAAUGAUAUAUCAGUAAAAAUCAAUAUUUUCAUUCUUAUUUAACAUAAGAAAGAAAAUUAUUCAAAUGGUGCAUAAAUUAAUGUGAUCUCCUGAUGAGAAUGACAACAACAACCAUGAGUCAUAGUUAGUGUAUGUGUGUGGUAAAUUAACUUAGUGUUUGAUAAAAUAAUUAUUUAUCAUCAUUUAAAAUUUAAAAAUAAAUUUAAAUAUUAAAUCAAAAUAAUUAACUUAUUCUAAAUACUAAAUUUUUUUAUUCUCUUUGUUCAUAUUUGGUGAUAACCAUGCUUUAUUUUUAGAAUUCUUUUUUUUAGUAAAUAUUUUUUAGUUAUUUUGUAGCUUCACAAUAGUACUUUUUAAUAUAAAUGUUUAACAAGCUUAAGUUUAUGAAGAUAAUUAUUAAGAAAAAUUAAUGAGUUUAAAUAUAUCAAUAUAAUAACUUUAAAAAAAUUAAGUUGAUUUUACCAAAAUUAAAGUAAAAAUAAUUCAUCUUAAAAUUAAUUUCAAUAAUUCGGUAAUAAGGAUUAAGUUGUAUCAUAUACUCUCUUAAUUAAAAAAUGACAUAACUUCUUUCAACAACUUCUUCAUUCUACUUUUGAAAAAAUAAGAUAAAUUAAAUUAAAAAUUAAAGUGAUAUUUAUUUAUUUAUUUAUGUCUAAAAUUUAAUGUACUUGAAUUUGACUUAAAUCUAACUAUAACUUAAUAUCAUUAAGUGUCUAGACUCUUUUUUUUUAUUAGUGUCUAAAUAUUAUUAACCGUUAAAUUGUUUAUUUUUAUUAAUAUCAAAAUAUGUGAAGUGUUAAAUUUAUUUAUUUUUGGUUAAAAACAUUUACAAAAGUAAUUGUUAUAUUUCUUCUUAUUUUAAUUUGAAAAGUUAUAAUUUAACAAAAUAGUAAUUUAAUUAACACAUCUAAAAAUAUUAUAAUACAUUAUCAAAGUAAAAAUUUUAUAAUGAUAAUUAUGUAAUUAGUAAAUAAUAUUAUUGUACAAUCCAUUGUUCCAUGUCGUAUAUUAUAGCAUAGUUGUGCAUACCCAUCAGUGCAUAGACAUAUCUUUUGAUAAUCUAUCAUGAAUGUCUCGUGGACUCUACAGGAAGUAUGUAGCUAUUAUAGUAUAAAGAUGGCGUAGGAAGAGGCUCCAGGUUUAGUAGUUCACACUCAACCAUAGCAAUAGGGAAUAUAUUGCACAUUAUUUCCAUCUAAAAGAAAGAUAGAAAAGACCUUAUAAAUGGAACUUUUAGAUAAAAACUAAGGGUCACAAUGAGAUGACUCUAAGAAGGAUCACCUCAAUCUCAAUCUUAUGUCAUUUAUUUAUAUUAAAUGGGGUGAGAUAAGACAAAAUUAUAUUCGAACCUGUCCUGAACUUGGUCUGAGGCCAAGAAGGGUCUCUAAAAUAAUAAGCCUCAUUGUCAUUCUUAGGUACACAUCUAUACCAAUGAAAGUUUUUACAUCUAUUAAAAAAUUCAAUGUUCCCGAUGUUAAUUAACUUCACUAGACUACAUACACUUAAAAUGCAUGAAAAAAUGUCAAAAUUCUCAACCAAUUAAUGACAUAAACUAAAAUCAAGUUUAGUACAUCAUAACCCUAAAAUACCUCCAAACCCCAUUUCUUGUAAGACCCCCUUCUGAUUAGGUUGCAAAUGUUGAAGUACUUUAUACACUUAAUUAGGUGAACAACAAGUGUCAAGAUAAGACUUCAAGCCAUACAUAUACAUAUGCAUAUAUAUUUAAAAUUGAAAGAAAAUAUUAUCAAAUUUUAAAAAGAUAAAUUUCAAAUUUUUUUUUUACCUUUGAUACAUUUUUUGAGCUUGUACCCUUUUGUUUUACAUAUUCAUUGGAGCAUUUCUUUGACUUCCCAAAGAACUUUUUUUUUUCUAGGACUAAAAACUUUUUUCCUUAAUCGACUUGGGAUAUUAUAUACACCCACAACCUAACUUAGUAGUUUUAAAAUUAAUUGGUUAAAAAGAAUGAAAUAAUCCCAAAAUUUGUAAAUAUAACAAGAUUGUGUUUUUACUUGAAAAGUAGCCCAUUUUGACAUAAAUGUCUUUCGCCAUUUCAAUUAUUUACAUUUAAAUUUAAAAAAAAAGUUAUGACAUUUUUGUCAAAAGAAGGACACAAAAAGAUCAAAAGUUAAAUUUCCAGAUUUAGUUUUUUAAUAGAUAUUUUAAUAAAAUAAACCUUAGUUUUAUAUCACAUAAUGUUUCUUCUUUAUUGUUCUUUAAUCCCUUUUAUUUAUUUAUUUAUUUUAUCAUACACGACCUAUUAAAUUUGAAAAUUUUAACAAUUUCUUGCAGUGCAUGCCUACGUGCUUAUCACAUGAGCUUCUCCAUCUAUACUAGCUAGGGAUCCAUUUGAUAAUUUCUUUUAGUGUCCACAUGCUUAUCACAUGGACCUCUUCACUUCUAUUAAUAGGGGUCCAUUUGGUAUUUCAAAAUAGUUCAAGGGCUUUGCUUAAGAAAAGCUUAGAGACUAGUUCGAAACAAUGUUUUUAGAACCCAACUAGUUAUUGAAUAAAAAAAGUUAUUGAUUCAUUGUCUAGUGGUCAAAUUAAUGUUUGAACUGCAGUCAAAUUGGUGACAUCAUAAAUAUAUAAAUUAUAUAUUAAAAAAAAUUAUAAAAUUAUAAAACUUAUUUUUCAUCUUUGACAUUUCCAAACUUAAAUCAUGAAUAAAUAUAAAUAUAUUAAUAUUUUAAAUUUUAUAAAUAAAAUUUGUGUAACAUUCAUAUGUAAAGAAAUAUAUUUAAAUAGAAUAAAAUUCUUUUGUUCAUAAUUUAUUUUACUUAUAUUAUAUUAUUUAGUUGUAUUACAAAAUUUAAAAUAAUUAUGUUAAUUUAGGUUUAGUUUGCAUUUUUUAAAUUAUAAUCAUUAAUAACAAAGUGGUGAUAGCCUAAACAUGAUCUAAAGGUCCAUGGUUCAAACCCUUGGUUCCUCAUCAUUUUCCUGGUCUCAUUAGGUGGGCUAGGCUUGGUAUGCGAAGGGCUAACCUUCCACCCAUGAUCCAACCUUUUAGUUGAUGAAAAAAGAAGGCUAACCUAGAAUCGAUAGACCAUGGUUCAAAGUUGUGGUUGCGGUCACUAACUUGGAGGGUCUUGCGGCACAUUGGUCUUGACAUCUUAGCUUGAUAUUAGAUGAUAUGUAAAAUAAGAUAAAUAAAAAUUAUAAAAUUAUAAAAUAUUAUAAUAAAUAUUUAAAAAAUAAAUAUAAUUAAAUAAACUUAAAAUUUAAUAAAAUAAAAUAUUAUGAAAAUUAAAAUUGUUCAAUAAAUUUUUAAUAUUGAAAUUGAAAACAAAAACUCUUUAAUUACCAAACUCAAAUUAAAAAAUAAAAUAAAAUGUGAUGAUUUUUACCACACAUUAGCAUUUAAAAAUUGAAACAAUAAAAUAACAUAUAUUAUUGAUACUAUCAUUUAAAACAACAAAUAUAUUGUUGAUAAUGGCAUUUAAAACUAUAAAAUAGUGCAUUAGACCUGCAUUCAAAUCUUCAAUUCUCAAACACCACCAACCCACCCAUGAAUAGAGAAAGAGAAGAGAACCCUAGCAAAAGUAGAGAGCUUCAAUUCUCAAAUCUUCAAUUUUCUUUUUAUGUGUUCAAGUGAUUUUUAUUUGUUAAAUGAUUCCAGCUACUACUUGGGUCUAGUAUUUCCUUGGUGUAUAUAUCAUGCACUUCUCAGUAGAAAGCCCAUAGACUAAUAUAAAGGAGAAACAAGUUUUUAUUUAUUUGCAAUGCCUAAUAUAAAAUUUAAUAAGCACCUAAUUUUUUAUUUCAGCUAUGAAUGAUAUUUUUCUCUAGAUCAUAAGUACGUUGGUUGAAUUAAAAAAAAUUUAUACCAUUUCAGCCACUAAUUAAUAUCAUGCAAUAGAAAAACAAAAUUGAAAUUUGGGAUAAUAAAUAUCAUUAAAGUACAAAGAAAGUAACUUAUUGGGAGCAAAUUCUUCACAACCUGGCAUUCGCCUUUAGAUUGAAUAAUUUAUUAAUAAUCUCCUCUUUCUUUCUAAACUUCACCGCUGUUUAUGAAAGUUUCUAAAAACCAAAGCCCAAAGCCUAGACUAUAAAAAGGAAACAAUCACUUGGAGAGGGGUUGUUUGUUUUUCUUGGGAGCCUAAUAAAUGCAACGGCAUAGACAGAAAGAGGCGGAAGAGUUGAGUCGGAGGAUCAAGAAACACAACCAUUCUUCUCUUUCAUUUCUAUACAUAUCCUUCCAUGCAUUCUCUGGCUCUCCCAUUCUCUUUUUCAAAGCUACAUCUUUCCUCAUAGACCCUGUUUGGUUUCUAAGAAAGUGGUCUAGGUCUCUUUCUUUUUCUUGAUUUAUCUUUGGUUUACAAGAAUCAGGAGUGAAGUAAAGUGGGCUCUUGAUUUAUGUUUGAUUUUUCUUAUUCAAACCUAUGUUUUGAUCUUUUCUCUCCAGCUCUUGUGGUCUAGGUCUAAUAUGCGUUGUGUUUUCUUUCUUUUUUCUUGGUUUUUGUUUGGUUUUCCAAGAAAGUGAAGGAAAAGGAACUCUUUACUCUCUUGGCAUAUUCCACUUAGGAUUGUCCUCCUACAUCCUUUGAUGCUUUAGUGUUUGGUCAUUAGUUGUUUUUAAGCCCUUAUUGAUGGUCCAUUAAGACAUUUUAAAGGGAUUAGGCGGAUCCCUAUCUUGAUUUUAGUGAUUUUUGAAUCUUAGUUUUAAUUGAUUUAUAACAUAUUUAGGCUUGUUUAGAACUUUUAAAAUUCAUAAUUUUGAAUGUGCCAAAUACCCCCUUCCAUCAAUUCCAACUGCAGCAACUGCCAUUCAAAGAUGCUAGCCACAUAUUAAACCCAUGCAUGAACCCCCAGCCAGAUACCCAUUUUUUCCUCCAUCCAUCAACCACCUUCUUACUCCCACCACCGCCACUGCUCACCAUUCCCACUUCUCCUCCACCACCAUGGCCACCACCGCUUCUGGCUCUGUCUUCCUCCUUCUGCUCCUUGCUGCCAGCGCUGCCGUUGAUGGCAGAGUCAUAAGCAACCGCACAUCGUCCACCGGCCUAGUCUCUGACGGCGUCCACGACCACCGCAAUGGUUUGCCUUAUCUUCUUCUCAGGUCUUUUUCGGCCGUUUCAGCCUCGGAUUCAUGUGAUCAUAUAGUAAACCCAAAUGGAAAUCAAACCUUCACAACCCGCUCACCUUUCCGAUGCCCGUGAUGAUCAAGUCUGGCACUCGAAAGAGAGAGGACAACUGGGUCAUCUCCCUCUUCGUGAUCCUCCACAUUGGGCCCUUCUUGCAUCGCCUUGGAUUUGAAACUGACCGGUUUAGAACCAUAACUCCUGCACGCGAGAGAGAUCACCAUAAGCCAUGCAAGGGAGCAUGCCAGUCACGUUCUCUAACUGCCAUGCAUCCGGUGAAGCGGUUUUGCGAGGAGAAGCCUCCAGAAGAGAAUCUUUUCGGUUGCGGGAAUAUAAAGAUCACGCCAGAAAGAAUAAAGAGGGCUGUUCUAGAGACUUCGGAGGAGGAGAGAGGAAAGGAAAACUGACAUAGAGAGUCUCUGUUUCUGGGCGUUUUUUGGAAGAGAGUUCAAAGAUCUUCUUUCUGUAGAAGAUCAUCACAUGCACCGAUUCAAAGAAUUUAGAGAACUUCUCGUUAGAGUCAAGGUUCUCAUCAUUCUAGACCUUCAUGAACAUCUUCUUCACGGCGGCAUUGGCAUCCCGAUUCCUGAACCUCCAUGAUUGAUUGAUCUCCAUCAUCUUCACGAUCGUGCACAAGUUCUGAAAGUAGAGACGUGAAUCUCUUCAUCGUCUUCACUCUCUAUACUUGUAUCUCGAAGGUUAUCCCGGUUUCUAUGUGCAUCGGAUCUCCAUAGGAAAAAUUAGAGAAUGAAUAGAGGUUGACUGUCAGCCCCUUAGACCCUUGACUUAACCAUGGAGGAAUAGGCCUCAUGGGUAGGCCUUGCACCCAUGAAAGCCUAGGAUGAAAGCAGGGAAAUCCUGGAGGUUUGGUGGUUCAAACUCUAGGAGGCAUGUGAGGAGGCCGCAGGUGAGCCAGACAAGCACUGCGCGCGCAUCGCGGGCGAGGCAGACACGCACCACGCGCACACAGUGGGCAAGCCAGACGCGCACCGCGCGCGCACAGUGGGCGAGCUAGACGCGCACCGCAUGCACACCACAGGCGAGCCAGACAUGCACCGCGUGUGCACCAGAUGGGCAUCGCGCGCGCAUCUGACUUAGGUGGUGCAGAUGAAGGCUGAGGGACUUGGAAUUUUAAUUUAUAAUUAAAAUUAUUAUUCCAUUAUGCCUUCUCAGACAUAUUGAUGUCUCCUCAAGAAACAAUGAAAAUGGCUCGUAUUGCUCUUUAAGGGGGGGGGUAGGUGACUCAAAGGAGGGAGCCACCAAGAGAAGCCUUGACCGCACCAAGGGGGCACCAUGGCAUGGCCUUGGGCGUGCCUAAGACACACGACAUGACUCGAGCACGCACACAUGGGCUCCACGACAUGUGUGGUGUGCACCCCAUGGCCGCAACGGCACGGGGCCUGGUGCGGCCUGACCCCUCCCCGUGCAGGCACGAGGGAACCUAAGCCUUGUGCGGUAAGCCAGUUAAUGAAACCAUGGGCACAAUGCCAUGGUCUGAUGGCUCCAAUAGCUGACUCGCAUCAAGAUGCCUACGCAAAGCACAGGGUGCAAUGCCCUGUGCACCAAGAGGGAUCAGUCAUGGGCGCAAUGCCAUGGCUCGUUGCUUGGAAGCUGGGAAGCAAGCAACAAGCCCAAGCCAUGGGCACCUAGACAUGGCAUGGGUUCAUUCAUUAGUGUGGGGAAGGCACACUGAUGCACUAGACGCUUGGUCAAAUGGGUGGAGCACGUUGCCUGGCUUAGAGGGCCUUGAUCAAAGACAUGCUGAUGGGCACCUGGUCACAAGAGGCACCUUACGGGGGAGGGGUCAGCUUGUUAGGGGGACUCACCAGUAGCUUGGCGAGCAAGACCUGAGGAGAUGGCAGUGCAGCUAGCUAGUGGCAGCUAGCUCAGUGACCAAGUCAAGCCGUCAUUUGAACUGCAGUUGGCUGAGGGAUGAUGGCUGGUGCAAGUGGGUGGCAUGUGCAGGCCACUAUCUAGGUGGUGGGUGGUUAUGCAGGGCAGUUGAGGGCGGUUCUGGCCAGUUGCAUAACCACCAAAGUUGGCUUCAAGAUUUGAAUUGGAAAUUCAAAUUUGUAAUUGCAGCUUGAGUCUUUUAAAAGGGCUCCUGCAGCCUUCAAACAGGGAGAGAGAGUUUUGGGGAAAGGGUUCCUUCUCGUAUGCCUUGGGUGAGAGCAUUGUACUCUAGUUCAGGAAGCAAUUUUGUCUUGCAAGAGUGAUUAAUACAAGUUAGGAAAGGAUUCUCGUAACCUCAUGUGUCCCUGUUGCUUUGUUAUUUCUGUGUUCUACUCUGUUUUUCUAAACGUUAGGAUGGAAGGUUGGCUAAGGACUGGUCCUUAGCACCGCGCACUCGUGAAAAAUUCAGUGAGAUAUUCAGGGGUAUGACACUGACCAUGAUUACUAUAUCUAGAUAUAUGUUAUGGAAUAAUGGCAGUUGUAGUAAAUAAUACACAAUGGGUUACAGGAUAAUGUUGAUGCUUGUUGAUUUUUUUAAUAAAUACUACAUAUAGAAAAGUAGAUGUAUAACCAGCCAUAAGUGUUUUUAGUGGCUCUUGAUUACAAGUUAUUGUGCCUUGUUCAUAUGUAUUAUUUUUUUCUUCUACAUGUUUAGUGUUGUCAUUUUAGUUCCAAGUAUAAUAUUCGAUUCCUUAAUUCUAAUCUUUAUUGCCAAUAUUUUCACUUUAUUCAUGAUUUUUUUGAAUACAUGUUAGUUUAGGUUGGGUGUGGACAAUUUGGGCUACGCAUGAGUGUUGUUAGAAUUUGAUAUUUAGGAAACUAAAUGAUUAAAUGUGGAUUGCUUGGUGAAUUAUGAUUGAGAUUGAGUUAUUUUUUUCUCUUUUUAUUCAAAACUUCUUUUCAUCUAAAUAAGUCAUUGGAUAAUCACAUGAUAAUUGGCUUUGAAUAAAUUCUCCUCAUUUUGAUUCUUAGAAAUUUGAUUUGUCUUAAUUUUCUAAAAUAAUUCACACAUGUACAUUUACAUUUUUUAAUAAUCCAAAUUUAAAAAUAUACAUGAACCGUUUUCCUUUUUUGGAAAAUUGAUUUUAUACCUCAUUCAUAACAAGAUCAAUCUUAGUCUCUUUGAUAAUGGAUGGCUUUUGUAUUUAAAACCUAUCUUAGUCUCUUUUAAGUAGAAAAUUUCAAUUUCUAAAAAGAAUAAUGCUGCCCAUUUUAUUUGGUAUGCAACUUUGAAAGGUUUUAAAAUAUUUUUCCCUUAAUCUAGACUUCUUAAAUUUAAUUUUUGACAUAUUAAAUAUUAAGAAAAGAUUUCUGAAAUGAGAGAUAUAAUUUUUUUCUUUUUGACCUUGCUGCACCUAUGCUCCCCUAGAGCUGAAGGAUGUUUACUUAUUUUUAAAUGUGUCAUGAAUGUAACAUUGCCUUGUGAUUAUUAUUUUUUAUUAAAAAUAGACAUGUUAGCUAGUUGUACGAAUUUUUGUAUGAUUUUAGGACAUCUCCAAGUUAAUUAAAAAAAUAAGUUCUUGAGUAUUUUAACAAAAUGCCCUGUUCUGAACCUACUAAUAUCAUUAUGAAAUCUAGUACUAAAUGAGAGCUAAUUGAUAAAUUGGAUGAUAAAGUAGACAUAUAGAAGAUAUUCUUUGAAAAUUUUUGUAAUGAAAUUCAACUUCUAGAUAUUUGUUUUUGAUUUAUUAUAUCCCCUGUUUUGACCAUUUGCUGACUUUUUUUUUUUCUUUUUUUUUUUUUUUUUGUAAAAGAACUCAUUUGUAAAUAAAUUUGACAUUGAUUAUAUAUAAGUUUAGUUUGUAAUUCCUUUUUGAAUUCAUUACUAUUAUUUGUGAGUUAAUCUCAUUUCUAUGAAAAUGCUUUAAGAUGCUAAAACAGGUAUGCAAACCCUCUUUUCAUAAUUUAUUUAAAUUAAAGCUUAUGAUUGAACAUUGUCUAUUAGAGUUUGCUAGUUGUGUUGAGAUUUAUGACUUUAAAUUUGACUUGUUAUGGAAUAUGUGAUUGCUUAGAAUACAAUGUGAUGCUAUUGCUUGUUAUCUAACUUUUGUGUUUUUUGGAACCGCUCAAAUUAGGUAUGCCUUUCUUCAUAUAAUUGAUGAAUUGUAUUGAUGUGUUUUAUUUAGUUCAUAGUAUCCAUGAAUCAACCAAUUGAUCUUCGGAAUUAUUUCAAUUUACUUAGUAGAGACCUAGCUUUUAGGGCUUAGAGGGACGCUAUAGUUCUUCAUUGUACCUUCCUGAUAAGUAAUCUGAUACUCGAACUUAGACUCGGGUUUUCAAAGACAAGCAUUUCUAAAUAAAAAGGAGUCAUUUUCUAGGGUUUUUCUUUCUUAUUUUGUUUGUCAUUUUAAAAAAAUAAAACGAAAAUAAGUGGUGACUCCAUUAUUUAUAAAAUUGGUUUUUCACAAACAAAAAGUGAGUGUUGCCAUCGAGUGAGAAUGCAUGUGAAAAUGCGGGAUCACAAACGGUGAAGUAAAGUGGUUCUUGAUUUAUGUUUGACUUCUGUUUUUUAAACCUCCAUUUUGAUCUUUCCUCUUCGGUUCUGUUUGGUUUCCAAGAAAGUGGUCUAGGUCUAAUAUGGACCAUAGUUUCUUUCUUUUUCUUGGUUUUUGCUUGUGUUUUUCUUUUUCUUGGUAUAUCUUUGGUUUACAAGAAACAGGAGUGAAGUAAAGUAGGUUCUUUAUUUUUGUUUGGUACUUUGGUUUCUCGUUCUCAAACCUACGUUUUUAUCUUUCCUUUUAUGCUCUGUUUGGUUUCCAAGAAAGUGGUCUAGAUCUAAUAUGCACUGUGCUUUCUUUCUUUUUCUUGCUGUCUGUUUGGUUUACAAGAAGCAGGAAUGAAGUGCAGUGCAUUCUUGAUUUCUAUUUGGUUUCGAAUAAAGUGAAGGAAAAUGAUGUCUUGCUUGUUAUAUAAUCAUUGAUAAGACGCCCAGGGUAAGAACCUCAUAUUCCUAAAAACAUGCUUACCAAUGAUUUUGCUUGAGCUCUUAGAAAUAAUCUCAAAUAAUCUCACUUAAAGCUCUCAAAUAGUAAUCUAUGUCCACCAUGAUAAGACAUGAUGAAAUAAGCCCCACAAAAAUAGUAUUUCAGUGCCAUUAUUUGAACCCAAGAUGAGCCCCAUGGCUCUAUCGUUUGCCUUUCUCAAGCAAACCCUACAAAGUGAAGGCUUCUUUUCUAUUAUUUAACUGUGGAGUGAGGUAACCACAAGGGAGAACCAUCAAGUAGACGCUAUCUCUUUUGCUUUCACUCUUUAUCACUGCUUUAAGUCUAAUUAUGCCUUAGAAGUAGAAACUAUGCACUAACCAUUCUCAGGUCCCACAACCCACUAUUCAUAAGCAUCAGAGUGAUGCUGUGCAUGAAGAUACUUGUACAAGGGUUUUAUGUCAUGCAACUUUCGGUGAAUCCAAUAUGUUACGAACUCCACAAAAACAAUAUAUGCCAUGAUGUACACCAAGUAGGCAAACCAGCCAACUUCACUUAUUCUUGAAAAGCACUUUGUCCACCCAUUUUCGACUGCAUACUCUGAAAAUGUUGGGAGAGCAGCAAACCAGGGAAAACUCCUCAUGGAAGCUUUGACGUGCAAAACAAAAAUGCACUAUUGGAAUAACAUGUAAUUAAGAGCUCAAGAAGACAUGCCAUUCCCUAAUGAAACAACGCUAAGCACUAUUGGAAUAAGCACGCAUUUAAACAAAACUGACAUAGAGAGUCUCUGUUUCUGGGCGUUUUUUGGAAGAGAGUUCAAAGAUUUUCUUUCUGUAGAAGAUCAUCACAUGCACCGAUUCAAAGAAUUUAGAGAGCUUCUCAUUAGAGUCAAGGUUCUCGUCAUUCUAGACCUUUAUGAACAUCUUCUUCACGGCAGCAUUGGCAUCCCGAUUCCUGAACCUCCAUGAUUGAUUGAUCUCCAUCAUCUUCACGAUCUUCACGAUCGUGCACUAGUUCUGAAAGAAGAGACGUGAAUCUCUUCAUCGUCUUCACUCUCUAUACUUGUAUCUCGAAGGUUAUCCCGGUUUCUAUGUGCAUCGGAUCUCCAUAGAUGAACUCGGAUUUUGCAUUGAUCUGAAUCUCAAGCAUGCAUUAUUUCCAUAUUGUGCUGCCAAACUUGGUGUUUUUCUUCAUUUAUUCUUCACCACAACAGUUGGACAUAAAGGUUAGUCUCAAUGAAUCUUUACCAUUUGAAUUAGUUUAUUAAUGAUUUUUAAGUUAUUCAUUGAUGAAGUUAAGGCUAAUAGAUGAAAUUGGUUUGUUGAUUUUGAAACUCACGGCUGUUUGUGACAUGCUUUUAUCAAAAUUAGAGAAUGAAUAGAGGCUGACUAUGAUUACUAUAUCUAGAUAUAUGUUAUGGAAUAAUGGCAGUUGUAGUAAAUAAUACACAAUGGGUUACGGGAUAAUGUUGAUGCUUGUUGAUUUUUUUAAUAAAAGCUACAUAUAGAUAAGUAGAUGUAUAACCAGCCAUAAGUGUUUUUAGUGGCUCUUGAUGACAAGUUAUGAUGCCAUGUUCAUAUAUAUAUAUAUAUUAAUUUUUUCUUUUUUUAAUCCUAUCUAUGUUGUUGAUAUUAAUGCAUUGAAUUUGAUGUUACCUAAAACAAAAUUAUAUUCAUGUCCUCUAUUAUAAGUGGACAACCAUUCUUUAUGUUAGAUUUUAGAUAAAGAACGAAUAUUGAAGAUUGGAGUUGUAAGAAAUUAGGAGAUCCUAAUUUUAAAUAUGUAACAAAGUUCUAUAAUCACUUCAAUCCACAUUUAAAAAUUGUAUUUCUUUCUAAAAUGGGAUCAAACUUUUUCCUUCUUUCUUAUAAAUUUCAUUUGGGAAUGAUUUAAAAAUAAAUAAAUAAAAGCCCUUCUAAAUAUUAAAAAAACACUCUCUUAUAAAAUUUAAUUAGGUGGAUGGUUAGGUCAAAUUCGGGAUAGCUUCAUAUUUUUUGCUUUAACUGAAAAUUAAAAUCAAAAUUAAAGUAAUAAUUUUUAAGAUGUUGUAAAAGUUAUAUUAAACAUGAAAGAACUUAUUGUGUAAACAAAAAUAGAAUUAUAGAAUUCUUAUAAGAAAUAACAUUUUUAUGACUUCUAUAUGAAACUUUUUAAAAAAUUUAUCAGUUUUUCUUUUUAAAAAAUAAUUAAAUAGGUAUAAAAAACUUUUAUUCAACUUAAUUUUUUUUAACUCUUGAAAGUAAAUCCAAAUAAAAUUUAAAUAUAUUUGAAAAUCAUUUUCAAAAAUCCAAAAAAUCACCUAAAAAUAAUUUCAAAUUUUUUUUAUUUACAUUUAAAUACUAAGUGAUUCUUUUAAAAAUCAUUUGUAAUGUCAAAAUAUUUUUUUAUGGAUAAAAAUAUUACAAAUAAAAAACAUUUCAAUCACAAUUAAUUUAUUUUUAAUUCAUGAAAUUUCAUUUAUUGUUACUUAUUUUUUGGGAUUUAAUUCUUUACAAUUAUUUUUGAGUGUUUACAUAGAAUAAUUAGGUUAUGCCCAAAUUUAUUCCUUUAACUCUAUCCAUCAGAUAUAAGUAUCGUGAAAUUUUGGCCUGUCUCCACCUUUCUUCGCUUUUGACAUUGUCAUGCACUGCUUCCUCAACUCCAAACACAACCGCUGAGGAUCGAAGAAAAUGAGACAAUGGUCAAUGAAUAAUUUAUUAAUUUUUUUCUUAAUUUAAUAGCAUUGGAAUGUCAGUUGGAACAAACCAUUUGAUGAUCUUUUUCAUAAGUAUCCAUUUAGAUCAUAGUCUUUUUAAAAUAUUAGAAUAAAUCAAUUAGUCUAAGCUAUAUCAUUUAUAAUUUUUUUAUUAUUAAUAUGAUACCUAUCCUUUCACGGAAUUGAAAUAAAAUAUGAAUAAUUAAAAAAUGUCAACUAUCCAUGAUAUUUGAUACCAAACUUUUCUAAUACAACAUGAUAUCAUGUUGAAUGAAAUGGGAAUCACCAAAUGUUCUCAAAUCAAAGAUAUAUCUACAGGGGACACGUCAAAUUCUCUUUUUAUAAUCAAAGGCUUCCAAAAAAAUUCAACCAUAGCAUAUCUCAAAGAUUAGUCAAAUUCCAUUAUUUUUAUAGACUUCUAACAAUUCAAGAAAUUGACAUUAAUAAUCCCAAACACAAUAUUCUGCAACUUUACAUUAUUCUUUUUAUUGUAAUUGAAGAGGAAUACCAACUUAGUCAAAUAGAAAAUAAAUCAUGAAAGCUGAAUAAUACAAAUAUUCAGUGAAAUCUUUGGCAUGUUAUUUCUUUGCAGCUUCAACAUGGUGGCAUGUCGGAUGGAGGAGGCAGCAUUUGAGCUUCUGGGUGUUUACCAUUUUUCACUAUGAAUGCAGUUUCCAUGCCCCAAGUCACAUGGCGUUCUACAUGGCAAUGCAGGAACCACACUCCUGCAACAGAGAAAAUAUAUCGAGAUUACACCUAACUUAAUUGUAAUAUUAAAAAAAAAUUAUUUCAUUGGUAUGCAAGUUGGCAGUAUCAAGGGUUUUUUUCUUUAAUAGAGGACAUGAGUGCUUGCAACGUACCAGGGUUGGAUGCCUUGAAUCUGAUUGCAACCCAACCUUUCGAAGGAACAGAGAUGGUAUUCUGAAGGGGAGGAUCCACCAAAUUAUAGUGCAAAGGGUCCCUAUUUUCAUCGAAAUUCCUAAAUCCCCAUCCAACAACAUAGAAACUGUAUCCAUGGAGAUGCAUAGGGUGGUGUGUCUCUGCAAGCACGGCUGUCCCUUGAAGAACAAUCUCCACUGUGGAGUUAUACUCGAGCACCCUUACUUCUGUUCCACUGCUCGGCAACUGAUAGAUUAAUGGAAGAUAAUCAUAUGUAAAAUCGAACACUAGUGGUGGAAAGCUAGGAAAGUUAUUUCCAUAUACACCACUGAUGUUAUAAUAGUAAGCUUCCAGUAUGUCAACCGUAGGGGUAUGGAAGCUUAUGUUGUUUAUACUUGAGGAGAACCGCGUCCCAUUUGGCCCUGCACAUGAAUCAUUGACGCAUGGGUACGAGUUCAUAGAAAGAGUGUAAAACAACUUAGUGCUCGUGCUCAAUGGGACAUUGCAAGGAUGUUCCGCAUUUGCUAAGCUUCGGAGGCCGGCCAUGACCUGAACUGAUGCAUCUGUGUCAUUGUAUGCAGGAAGAUGAGGCAAAGAGGAGGUGAAGAUGGAGUGUAGUAUCCCCUAUAUUGUACAAUAGCUGUGGUGGUUGUGUUAUCAUAAAAGCCUUGAUAUUUCGGGGCAACAGAAUAAGUUAUAGCCGCCAUGUAAUAGUGAUUUGGGCGUUGGUUAGCUUCUAAUAAGACAUCAUAGGUUUGGCCAGGAAAUAUUGUGAUAUAAUCUCGUGUCAAUGGUUUCGUGUAGCUACCAUCUGUUCCAACCACUAUCAUUUUAUGCUUGGCUAUGGCGAAGAAGAGAGCCUCAUGCAAGGCAGCAUUGAUUAUGCGAAGUAGAUAGGUCUUUCCAUGAUCCACCGUUAGCUUGAAUGUGCCUGUAAUUAGAAAGGGAAAGUUGUAUACUUAUGACUAGCAAAAAGAAAAAGAAAAAUUUUCCAUGAGAAUCCACCAAUUAUG